CCCAACUAAACAAGGCCCUAAUUCUCUAGAAAAGUAGCAUCAGUUCAAAGCUUGCAUAUCAUCACAGAUACUAGUAACAGGGCAUACGCCAAAUAAUACUGCACAGCUGAUAGUUAACCCCAAGGAUUUAUAACUUCAGAUACUUCGGCAUACAGAUAGCAGCGAAAUUAACAACCAGGAAUCAGAGAACAUGUUCCCAAACCCCAAUUUUUACUAAGGGGCUGUUUGGAUAUGAGGUGCUAAACUUUAACAGUGUCACAUCGGAUGUUCGGAUGCUAAUUAGGAGGACUAAAUAUGAGCUAAUUAUAAAACUAAUUGCAGAACCUUGUGCUAAUUCGCGAGACGAAUCUAUUAAGCCUAAUUAAUCCAUCAUUAGCAAAUGGUUACUGUAGCACCACAUUGUCAAAUCAUGGACUAAUUAGGCUUAAUAGAUUCGUCUCGCGAAUUAUACUCCAUCUGUGCAAUUAGUUUUGUAAUUAGCUUAUGUUUAGUACUCCUAAUUAGCAUCCAAACAUCCGAUGUGACAGGUGUUAAACUUUAACAGGGGUUUCCCAAACACCCCCUAAGACAUAAACGCAGUGGUAAACAAUAUUAGUUUACCACAACUAUGACGACACAGACACUGAAAUUAACACGACACGAUACAGACGGUAAACUGCAGGGACUGUAGUCAGGCAGACAGGCAAGAACACAUGUUCACGCGCGCACGGUUGCCCCCUCCUUCACUCCUUCGCGGUCUUGUUGAUGAGGGACUUGUGGAUGUGGGGGAUGACGCCACCGCCGGCGAUGGUCCCCUUGAUGAGCGUGUCCAGCUCCUCGUCCCCGCGGAUGGCGAGCUGGAGGUGGCGCGGGGUGAUGCGCUUGACCUUGAGGUCCUUGCUGGCGUUGCCGGCCAGCUCCAGGACCUCCGCGGUCAGGUACUCCAGGAUUGCGGCGGAGUACACGGCGGCGGUGGCGCCGACGCGGCCGUGGGCGGAGGCGCGGGACUUGAGCUGGCGGUGGAUGCGGCCCACCGGGAACUGCAACAAACACGGGGGAAAUUUUAGUGCGAAAUUCGAAGUUGCGCAUCUGAAAUUCGCAGGGAGAAACCACAGAUCUGACUAAUUCGCGGGUGAUGAAUCCAAAAGACAGCCGAAGAAGGGGAAGAGAACCUGGAGGCCGGCGCGGGAGGAGCGGGAGACGGGAGCCUUCUUCUUGUCCUUGUCCUUGUCGGUGCUCUUCGCCGCCGUCGUCUUCGCCGCCAGCAGACCCUUACCUCCCUUGCCCGCCAUCGCCGCCGGAAAACCUGGAGAGACCGCUCGGGCUUGGUCGCUUGGAGAUGCGCUGCGAGGGUGAGGCCGGCCGGAUGCGGGAGGGGAUUUGCUGGGUCUCGAGAAUACUUCCUGUUCAAUGCGGGUGCACACUGCAGAGGGCUUUAAACGCUAGGCGCACUGGAACUUUUCGGCUCGAUUUUGAAACCGGUGGGCGGCGGCGGGGAGCGCGCGCUUUGCGUUUUCGCGGCUGACGGGGCGUGAAAAAUUUCGCGGCCGGAUCGAGGGGGUAUACUGGGCUGGCCGGCUGGGCCGUUUGCAAGGGUUGCUCACUGUCACUGGUCUGCAGUUGUCACUGACAUGCGGACCCGGGUCCAUAUGUCAGUGAGACAGUUACCAAGUAGUAUGUCAGGCGAGUCUCGACCUAGCGAACAUAGCUGAUUUUUACGGUCCCUUAUACACUCCUCUGCGCAUGGUCAUUCUCCGACCAUGUUUAACUUUUUUUUCUUUUUAUUAAUUUUUUUUCUAGAUAUUUCCUUCCUGAUUCCGCAAGCCAAACCGUCCAUAUUUUUUCAUCGACUAAUCAUUGCCCCGCGCGCCGUCCACCGAUAAGAGCUGUCUUUGGAUAUUAGCGCAAUUUUUUCACACACCUAUUCUCUUUCUCUUUUUAUUUUCAUUCCUUUUUCAUAUACCUAUGUGCCAUCCCACCAGUCCGCCCGUGGUUUUAGAUUUACUAAUCCUUCCCCGCGCCCGCCUCCCACCGCCGAAAGUCAUUCUUAACCUUUAGCACAAAGUUCUCCCGCGCAAUGCGCAUUUCUCGUUUUCACUUUGAACUUGGUGGGAAGGGAGUGAUGGAGUGUCCGCUUGGCAUUUUACACGGUUGGUGGAGCCUCAAGUCUUUUUCAACAAACUAACCGUUACCUCGCGCACCAACCCUCCAAUGCUGAGGUCAUUUCCACGGGCACCAGCAACAGGGGUAGCGGGUGCGGGCAGUGGAGAUGGCAACAGGUGAGGGGCUAGGAUUGAGGAGAUGAGACGCAUCCAACGGCUGGAGCAACCUGUACAGAUCUCCAACACCGAAAGCCCAAUAGUAGAUGGGCUUACGAAAUUUAUAUGGUGCUUUCUCUCUCCCUCCCUAUCUCUCGGGCCAGUUAAUUUCCCGGCAGAUGGGCUGGCGUCAGGACAUUGCCAGCCCAUCAUUAUUGGGCUGGCCCAGCGUAAUCCCGGCCAGCUGGGCUUCGGGACACGGGUGAAAAACGAAGAAGUGACACCCACCUUUCUUCUUCUCCCAAGCUUUUAACAUGUGCAGGCUCCAUAUAAAAUAAAAUACGCUCCGGUUACGUGUUGGCGUCGUGAUGAGUUGACGAUGAAUCUUAUUCUCCUGACUUGCCAUUGGAUAUAUCUUUUUCGAAAAAAAAAGAUACACAAUACUAAACUUUAGCACUCCAUUUGAUACAGUAAUAAAGUUUAGCACCUUGGGUGAGAAAUGACUACAUUGACCUCAUUUAUGACUGGUUUGGGGAAAAGUGGAGAGGAGAGAGAGAGGACAACUAGGGAAAAAUUGGGCUUGGGACCACUUUUAGCACUAUUAGCAAGUUUUAGCAUCCCUUGGAUGUGAGGGGUGUGCUAAACUUUAGCACAUCACUUUUAGCACACAUGUUUGGAUGCACAAGUGCUAAAAGUGUGCUAAAAAUGUUGUGCUAAAAUUUAGCACCAUGUAUCCAAACGGGCCUUAAACCAUUUAUGGGCGGAACUAUGGCUUGCAAAGUUCUUAACCUAUCCGCCAUAUGCACGUCGUCCUUUGUCAAAACCUCAUCUAAGGUACGUAAGCGAACUGCUAGCCACGUCACAGGCAUGCUUUAAUUUGUAAUAAAAAAGAAGACAAUCUGUGAAAGAAGAACGACAAAUAUGUCCUUACUGCACUAUCAGUACAGUUGAUGAUGGACCAUAUAUAAUGGCUUUGGUUCUGUUCUAAACGGCGGAUCGGAAUUGCGAGGCAGCAAGCAAUUGGUGCCAGUACACCUGGUCAUCGUGCGUACUGUGAUGAUGUACUAGCGGUCUAGCGCACAGCUGCUCAGCCAUCUGACACGAUCAGCAGUGCCGACGCGAGAAAUGGCGGGCACACGCGCAGAGGCGCGGGCAGGUCCACGGAGCAGCGGGAGAGCGUACACAGCCGUGGGCCGCCACACAGCUGCAGGACGCAUGUUGUUACGUGUUGGGCGGAGACGGACGGACGAGAACUUUGUACAAUCUAUAAUGCAGCGUGUGUGUACUGUGGAGAAGCUCGAACUCCCAACGUUAUACGCGUGGCGGACUGGCGGUACACGGAUGGAUAGCGCAACCUCUCCUCGAGUCCUGCAUGUUUUUUUGGCAUGCAUAUGUGUCUGUCCGAUCGAGAUCGAUGGACCUCAGGACAGUUGGUUCUAUAACACUGAAAGUUGAGGAAAAUACCCCUGUAAAAUACGAUUAAAAACUGUAAUUGUAAAUUGAAACUAGCACUCUUAGAUUUUGCACAAACGGUGUUAGUGUUAAACGGGAUAAAAGUAUCCCUGACCUAUCAAUGUUGAUUGGAUACAUCAGAUUGUGUUUAUGCCUUCGAUUGAAAAGGGAAGAAGUAAUAUCAAUGAAGAAAAGGCAGUGACCUGAGCUGAGGAAGGGAAGGACAAACAAUGUCCAAGAAUCGUCCCGCAGUCAACCUCCAUUAUUUACCGGCAACAAAGAAAUAGAGGGAAGGAAGAGGACAAGCUCAGAAGCAAAGAAGAUGAGAUGACAUCUAGAAGCCGCACGACAGGAAUCUUGAGGUGCGUCUCCAGGGCAGCAACUCGUGGUGAAGGCAUGCGCCCGUGCGGCUGCAGCUUCUGCGUGUAACAUCCCUGGUGUUAAUUAGGAUCAUAAACAUUUUAAUUAAACAAAUAAAUGUAUCUAAUAAUUUUUGUUAGCAUGUGAGCACAUGUGGCCAUGAUUUAUCUUAUAAAAUGUGAUUAUUAACAUGUUUAUGUUAUCUUUACAACUAAAUAUAAAUUAAAAGUAUAAAUAUGAAAACUAUGAAAUUUUGCUCAAAUAUAGUUUAAAAUUUUAAAUGCAUAAUUAUUGACUCAUGAACAUGUCUAAAUCCCAAAAUAAAAUCAAAUUCCACAUUUACACGUGUUUUCUGGAAAAUUCUAAGUGUUGAGGUCAUUUUAGCCUUGUUCGAGUGUUGUUAAAAUUUUAUUUUGCCUAAAUACUUAACUUUGACCAAGUACAAGAUUGGUAGUCCUUAUCUAGUUUCCCAUGAGUAUAAGCUUGAUCUGUGAAAACAUUGUUUGAUUGUUCAAAAACACCGUGAAACUGUGGUCCGCCUCAUGUUUUCAGCUUUACCCUGAAAAUGGCCAAGUCUCCCAUUAAAUUUCGAGCUCACGGUCUAGAUUUCGAGCCUGUUAACUUUGUUUCUGCCUAAGGACGUGACCCAAACUUAGAUCGAAAAUGGAUUGUUCUCUAUGUGUACCUUACAUACGCACAAUUUUGUUAACUUUGGAUCACGUUUGGGCCUUCAAAAGAAAAUCAUUUUUAAUGUUGCAUAGUCCAAAUGGAAACCCUGGACGAUAACUCUGAACAUUCAGUAGGGGCCGAGUUUUUGCCAAAUUUCGGGGUGCUGGACCUUCCAAACCACGAAUCAAAUCACCAUAGAACCUGUAGCAAAGUUGUAACUCUAAGAUCCAUCUCCAACAUUGGUUAAGAAAGAUUGUCAAAUUCCUACACGAAAUCACGAGAGAAUUCUAUCCAAAAUCAUUGACUUUACAUGGCCUAGCUGUCUACUAAAUCAUUCUGUCGGUCAAGCUCAGAACGCUGUCCGGCGAUGCGCGACGCGCAGCGGCCACAGUUCGCCGGUGGCCGCGCCGAAGUCAAGUCGUCGCUCGUGCCGUGGCCUCCCUCCACACGCCGUCGCCUCCACCUCGCCGUGCGACUGCCCAUGCCGCGCCCACGCUUUACCCAUGCGACGACUAGCGCCAGUCCGCUGACCGCCACUGCUCGCCCGUCCUCGCCGUCCCCGUCCUUGCCCAUUGCUCGGCGUCGCAUCGCCACCUGCUCCGCCCGGCCAUACCGUGGCCCAUGCCGCGACCGCUCGCGCCGGUCACGGCGCUGCCGCCGCGCAAGCGCACGGUCCGGCCGGCCCCUCCUCGCCCGUGCCGUCUCUGCUCGACAGCGCACGGCCGCCUUGCCUCGGCCUUAUCUUCCCAAGCCGCUGCCGCAAGCCUCUCUCUCCCGCUGUUCUUUCUCGCAUGAGCGAGCAAGCAGCUGCGGCCAAGCCAUCUCAGGUCCUCUGCUCCUCCCUUGCUCGAGCAGAGCAAGCAGACCAGCGCCCCUCUCACAAGCUCCAUCCCCUUCUCUGAUUUCCUCCACCAAGCAGCUGCUCCCCUCUUCCAUGCUGCACGAGCUAGCAGCUUGAGCUCUUCGUUGUUCUGUCCAGCGAACAAGACACCACCAGCAGCAGCACACCCCAGCGCCGCACAGCCGACGAGCCCAGCUUUGCCUCUGCCCGAGGAAGAUGCCAACCGAGGCUGCAUCCACGACACCAAGUGACCUGCUACCUCUCCGUCAAGCCACAGCUGCCAGGACGCCGACGACCCUGCUUGCCAUGACAUUGCCUUCCUCGUCUACAACCCGUUUGCCAGCCGGCGUCAUCUCCUAUUUCUACACCAAGCUGCACUUGCCUGAGGUCGCCUUCAUUCACUUCGUGCUUGGUGAGCAUCCUCCCCAUCUUUUCCCGUGUGGCCAAACUGACCGUUUAGCCCAGCUCUUUUCUGUGACCCGUCUGUGAAGGAGAUGAGCAGUACAUGCUAGGACUAAGCUUUGUAGCUUGUACAUGCAUGUUUAGGUUCUUGCAAGAUUGAUAGGAGCGUAAGGCUAGGUCCUUAAUUCAUGAAGCAUGACAUGUAGCUGUAUGAUAAUUUUGCUCUUUGAUCUGAAAAUAUGGCGAAGCAUACUAGAGCUGAUUCCAGGCCUUGAAUUGGAUGUGGUGCUUAUGCUCAAUUAACUCGUUUCAAAUAAUGACACAACUGAAUAUGGUGCAACGCUACUUUUGUUAGUCUGCAUAUCUGUCGUAAAAUCAUGGGAAAACAUAUGCACUCAUGAAACUGAUAGUUUUCAUAUAUUCAGAUCUAACUGAUAAUUAUUACCCGGUUGGAUUGUCCUUGUAACAGAGAAUGCAUUUGAAAAUCUAAAGGGCAGGAGACAAACUUUGAUGGUUUCAUUCCUACCUGACAAAAACAUGUGUAGUCAUGAAAUAACUGUUGCAGUAUUUACACAUGCUCCAGUUAGUUGAAGCUUACUGAACUUGUAAAACUCAGAGAACUUUCAUAUCAGUUCAAGUUAAUAUCUACCUUCUACCUUUUCAAUUGCUACACAUCUUGAUCUGGUUUUGAGCAGGUAGCAAUCCUUUCCCAUGAGUUGGACUUAUUAGAUCAUCAAAUUCACCACUUGCCAAAAUUAGUCAAACUGACCCUGCAUGCUCUCUGUUUUCCUCUCUGACAAACCAGAAACAUAUAUACUGACUACAUCAGUAGUUUUUAUUUUUCCAUUAGAAUAUGUAAAUUUUAAAUUAUUGCCAUGCAUCUGAAAACAAUAUCCUGAAUCCCUGCCAUGUGCAUUGUUUUAUGUCUGAACCUGCUAGUUGCAUCUUGCCACAAUCUGAUGUUAUGGCCCUGUUGAACAAUAAAAGUAAUUGACCAAGUCGCAAUAUAAAAUAAAAGGGAGGCUUGCAAUAUAGCUACAAAUAGCUAAAAUGUACAAAAGAAAACUUAGUAUGUUUUUCUCUAUAAAUGAAAUAAUUUCAAAUUGAUUUGUAUGUCCUUUUAUGUUGUUGGCUUGCAACUUUAUCGUGAAAGAAAUACUUCUGACAAGAUACUAAACAAAUCUGAUCAUCACUAGCAACAACCACGCUUCCUGGUGCAGUUAGUUUAGCUUAAUAAUUGGUAAUCGCUAUUGUAUGAAAACUUCAAAAUGUUACACUCUUUGCAUGCAUAGUUCUCGUGUUUGGCUUGUGCUCUGUUAGCUCGCGUUAUCAGUGACUUGCAUCUCAUUCAUGAAAUUUCGCGUAGGCACCGCUACUGACGACGUGGAGUACGAGCUUGUGGCUGUGGAGCAGGCGUAGCCGCGAAGUCCGGAAGGAGUAUCCAAAAGGUCCGGCCCAAGAUCCGGAAGGGGCUUAAUGCCCAGUUGACACUAACUCUACCGUUUGGGAGGCAAACUUCGGAGCAUAAUCCUUACUUUUAAAAUUAUACAGUGUCCUUAUUUAUAUAUCUAUGCAUUUACGUGCCUGGUUGUUGAAUGAAACUAUAGAUGCACGAUUCCUAGGAAUCCCAAAUUAAAUACUAGUAUGUGUAGGUCGAAGAAAUGCCAUACUUAAUUAAGAAUGGUAGAAGCUGAGUGAUUGCCUGUCAUUCGCGAGAUUAGGUUCAUUUACUUGUAUGGUUAAAACUGAAAUGAAUGGUUCACAUCAGAAAUUGAGAAUGAAUCAACGAGAAAGGAAAAAUGGAGAUCGUGCGGAGAUGAGUUGGUUAAGGAUAUGAAAGGGUACCUCCGCCUGUGUCGAUUAAGGUUCAUCUGUCGUUGGCCCUGUUGAUCGAGUUUGAAUUGUACUAUCCAUGUACCGGAAGUAAGAAGUAAUUGAAACUGGUAAAAUCUAGUACCAUAUUGCACGAUUGUAGAUUGAGUUAGUCCUGUUUUCUAUUCGUGUUGUGUGCUAGUCAGUAACUCAUGUCUGACUCGUGGAGGUACCAGUGGGCAUUAGUACUCGAGGGUCGCAAGAGUUCUCAAAUGCUAUCACUCUCUAAAAGAACCGUUUGCUAUAUGCGGCUCGACGGGAUAUGCAUAUAUCGUGUGUAUAGGUCCAGCUUGCAAGGUUGUAAAAUCGGAUCGAUUCACUGCCGCUCUCGAUUAAGACAACCUUUAUCAUGAUGUCACAUCGUAGUAUGAAGUGGAAUGAAGAGAAGUAUGAAUGUGGAUGAUGUUGUUGUCUAAUCAAUUUUUUUCUACACUGAAAAGCUUGCUCACUUAGAAUGUUUAAGUUCAACUUUAAAUUGGAUGUAAAGUAAGGAUCCACCCUUAGUUGCUUUUUGGCAAAACAAAUCUCUCAGCCAAAAACCUUGCAUGCUAGGAGUCGGUUAAGUAUAUACCAUAGUCGGGUAAGUCCUGCAAGUAUUAGUGUACUCAGGGUUAUUAUUAUGACCUCUUUGUCAGGAGAUGACGCUUCUCCGUGAUGUCAUAUCGGUGGGCUCGAUGCGAUAUCUUUUUCUCGACAUCGUUGGUGCUUGUGUAAAUAGACGAUCAACUUUUGUUUCUCAAAUUUUACUUCCGACGUGCCCUUAAAAUCUUUGUAUUAUUCUUAUAUUGAACUCUGGUUGUAAACUGUUGUAUCGUCCUUGUGAUGCAUCUUUUGUUUUGAUGUAAAAUCUGGUAUGUUUGUAAUAUCUGCGCUUACUUUCACGUGAUACUAGUGGUGUAUUGUUUCGAUCGAGAUAUUUAGUGGUUGCAUCGGGCUUCCCGACAAAUUGACAUAUUACACCAUUUUAACCAUUAAGAGGAUGGUUAGCGAAUUGAAGACGGUUUAAUUUGGACGGUUAUGCCACACUGCGCUGUUGCGCGCGCCGCGGAUUCAUGGCCCAGGACGGCAGCGCUCGUGCUCGCUCACGAUGAGGGCAGUAUGCCCAGCAGAUAGCUCGCGGGGAGGACGGUGUCGCUGGUGGGAGAGCCGGAGACGGGUGGCGGCGCCCCCGGGGGGGGAGGGGUGGCGGUGCCGCGAGUCGCACGAGGGGAGCACGGUGAGGAGAGGAGCGACGCCUGCAUCGGAUCCGUGAGCGGGCGGAUAAGGCAGGAAUGGAUCCCUCCCAUGGAUAUGAGUCAAGGGUAGAAACAUCAUCUCACGUCCGUUUAUAUUUGUCAAACAGAUGAAAAUAAUUUUUCGGUACAUAAAAUGUAACGGAAUUGUAAUUUCAAGUAACAUUUGUAUUGGUAUUUUACGAAACGAUAUUUUUCGGUGGUAUUUUCCGAAAGUCACCAUCUAUAAACGCCCUUGAUCUCUGACGCAACAUGCACGCUCUCGUUUCGUGCGGGGUGCUGCGUUUCAUCGUAGUACUAUACCUAACACUGGUAGAGAACUCGGUAUUAGUCCCGGUUGGUAGGAUACAAAUUUUCUAAAAAUCCAUCCGGAAUAAACCAACCGAGACAAAAAUGGGGUCUUUUGCCCUGCCAGGCGCUGCAAAAAAAAAAGAAAUCCCGGGAGAGCCCCCCACAGGUCACGCGAUUUUUCACGCGAAAUAUGCGCGUGCGCGCUGCGUGGGAUUCGAACCCACAACUUCCAGCCUCGCGCGUAGCUUCCUUGCCAUUCCACCUACACAGAACAUCUAACUAUAUAGGGGAUGCAAUCCUUUUGUAUUAACUCGUAGGGGACCCUUUUAUCUCGGUUGGUAUUACAAACCAGGAUAAAAGGCCUCUCAGGGUCUUUUUUUUCCACUAGCCUUUGCAACCGGGAUAAAAGGUCCCAGUUGAUGAGCCCCCCACCCCACCAGUGACCGAGCUUUAGUCCCGGUUGGUGAACCUUUUGUCCUGAGCCAACUUUAAACCGGGAUAAAAUGAGGCGCAUGGAAGGUGAAUUCUCUAAUGGUGUAAGUAGGAGCCAGUACGUACACGUACCGACGUACGUACCAGCAGCUGCCAAGCAACUAAGCAAAGGCAGGGUUGCACGAUCACACGAGCGCACGUACGCGCGCUGCUGCAUGCAAAUACACGGCGGUCGCGGCGCGCGUCGAUCCGUACCUGCGAGGGGCGCAGCACAACACAUGGGAUCAUGCCAAUGUCAUGGUGCGUCGGAGUUCGGAGCGGCCGGCGCGGCGUCCUCGUUGGGGUGCAAUGCAUGCAUGGGGAGAAACGCCUCGAUGAAUGGGACGCUUUGCUGCAACGGCAGAAGAACAAGAACCUGGUGAGGACUCCAUAAUAAGACCAUACAGCGUGCCAGCAUUUGUUUUCUACGGGAAAAAUCGAUAGAUGUGAGAAUUCUGCCGGCAGGGUCAACAAAAAGGACUGAUUAUUUUAUUCGUGGUUGUUGGUCAGUGCACCGAAUGUGUAAGAUCACGUGCACGUGUAAAUCACCUCACGGAGCUCCUGCCUUGAAGCCGGUAAAAUCGGUUCAGGAGCGCCCUGAAAACAUAGAGAAUCACCGUCUCAGAAGAGAUCCCGUCAUAAAUAAUGCGUCUAUGAUUGCUCUAAGAUUAGCAGGUCACUUAGAACCUUCACUCAGAACCUCCUCAACCGCCGUAGAGAUGAAGAAGGAGAAGCAAAAGGGGUUGGAAAAGAUUAGAGUUGCAAAUAAAAGUAAAGCUAUUAUUGAUUGAUCGACUGGAUAAAUCCUGAAUCGGCCGUGACCUUUUAUAUUUAUAAGGUGGGGAGAUUUUUGCACCAUAAGAAAAAUCUUUUAAAAGUCUUAAUCUACAAGGAUUUCUCAAUUCUACUCGACUAAGAUUGGAUCAGUCAGAUCGCCUCUACAGACCGGUUCGUAUUACCAGACCGGCUACGGGACCAGGACCGGUCAGAUUGCCUUGACAAACCGGUCUGACCGGCUACUCUAAUCAUAUCAAGUUGAUGCCAAUUUUGACCACUAACACAGUGGCUUAUGGCUUAAAAUUAUUGAGUAGCCAUGUCCAUACAAUCUGGUGACGACGCGGUUGGCGUGCUUGGUUUUAAUUUGAACGGCCAAAAAUGCGAGGUAUGCAGAGGCUGCUGGAAUCGUGGCAGUACACCUGGUGAUGCGUACUGUGAUGUUGCACUAGCAAGCACAGCUGCUCGUCGUCCAUAUCUCCGACACACGAUCAGCAGUGGCAACGCGAGAAGCGGUGGGCACACGCGCAGAGGCGCAGACUGGUCCACGGAGCAGCGGGAGAGCGUACGGCACAGCUAGCGCGAGCGAGAUGCCAGUUGAUGCAACUAACGUACUUGAACAGUUGAACCCAUCUAUCACUCUAGCAGCAGUUCCCUAUCGACUAUUGAUUUGUUUUGUUAAUAACUCGCUUGCUUGCAGAUUAUUGAUUUGUGUGACGAAACAUCGGAGUACUACCUUAAGUAGAAGCCAGUACGUACGUACAGGGAGCCAGCAGCAUGCAGGGGUCAUAACGAUCGGUCGACCACACACACACACACAAGCGCACUGCGCACGUACCUGCUACAUGCUGCAAUGCGAUACACGGCCGGCCGGGCCGGGUUUGCAUCGAUCCGUACGCGCGCGCAUGUGAGAGGCGCGGCCGAGGCAGGCAGGCACGGCAUGAUGAGGCCAUGAUGCCUUGGAGCUCGGGGCGGCCGGCGCGGCGUCGUCGGGGGGCAUCGGACAUGCAUGCGUGGGCCGCCCGGCACAGUACACGCAGUCCUAUGCGUUGCAUUGCAUGCACACGCACGCACUGCACGUACGCGCGCGUACCGGCCGGCCGCAUGCCACCGCCGGUGCCGUGUACGUGCAGCGCCUGCCGCGCGUGCAUGCACAUGCACAUGCACAUGGGACGUACGGCGCAGGUGGUGAGGUCUCCUCCGUCUCUGAUUGAGGAGACGGUGUGUAUACGGCAGCACAGAGACGACUGAGAGGGAUCGAUGAUGAUCGGAGGACGGAGAGUGAAACCGGCCGGGGUCCGGGCGUGGGGACGUGGGGGUGAUGCGAGGAGGCAGAUCAGUAUCAGACCCGCGGCUCUGCAUGCUAGACCGAUAGGACGGCGGCCGGAUAGCUAGCUGCUUUCCUCCGUGGCUUUGCUUGGACAGAUGUGGCCAUGCACGGCUUGGCCAAAUUUGGGGCCAUCUGCCUAGCUAGCUAUGCAUGCCACGCAUAUGAAGCAUGCAUGCAGAAGGGCAGCAGCGGUGACGAUCAGCGCUCAGCGGCAUCGAUGAUCCAUCGAUCGGUGCUUGGCGCCAUGCACUUAAAGAUUCUGGAUCUGUCCAUGAUUUCGACUGAUCCCCCCCCCCCCCACCCCCCCUCUCUGGAGCUGGUGCAGGGCCGACGACGCAGACGCCUCAGUGGCCAGCAACGCUCCUCCUUCUCUCUCUUUCGAUUGCAAUAUAAUGCAAGUAUAUGAUAGAUCGUCGUAGUUGGACGAUACCACGACCUACUACUACUAAUCUACUGCUACACAAGCACAAAGCUGUGCCUGUGAUCCAGCUGCGCGCGCGCCGUCGCAGGGCAAAGCAAAAGGGGUUGUUCAUGUAUUCCAAGAAAGAUCGAUGUGGACGCAUGCUCACAUUCCGUCCUGAGCUCAUCACGCGUCACCCUCCUCCUGCACCCCCGGGCCCCAGCCCGGCUCCUAAAGACCUCGUCAAUUGCCUGUAUGCCGUAUGCACUGAGUGAUCUAGCUCCUAUCGUUCACGUGAACCUUCACAGCUCUCUCUCUACCUCUGGUGUGGUCUGACGGGUAUACUGUUUAUGCAGUCGUAUCUGUGUGUGUGAGAGAGAGCGGUGCCCCAAGUCCAAACCGUUUGGUGGACCAACAAGAAGUUUUUUGAGAACAGCGCCAUCUUUGAACUCAAUUUGUUUUCUAUUAUUUUCAAAUAAAGAAUUCUUAAAAUGUGAUGGCCAUCCAGUUUCAUAUAUUUUCAUUUUCAAAAAAAUAAUUAGUAUUUAACAUGUUUCUACCCCUCCGUCACAAAUUGUAGGGUCGUUUCGUUUCAACAUUCUAGAGUCAUAGAUUUUGCUAUACACCUAGAUAUAUAUUAUGUCUGAAUAUAUAAUAAAUGCUAUGAAUCUAGAAAUGAUGGAACGAUUUAAAAUUUGGAACGGAUGGAGUAUGUUGCACAUAUUUGUCAUUAGAAAAAAACAAACCCAAAGUACACCAUUUUGGAUACUUCUAAAUUACGCCCUGCUACCGUAAAUGAUUAAAAAUAGCCAAAAAUAUCCGUAAGAAAAAAAAUAAGUAAACCAUAGGCACUUCAUACAGUUCUUUUUUAUCUAGAUAUAUACUAAAAAUAUUUCAGACCCGUGCAGCGGUACUGCUAUUUGAUGGACCACUGGUAUAUCAGGCUUAUCAGCAUGAAGUAACUACAUCCACGAAGUAUAGUUACAUAAAAGUAAAAAAAGGUAAAAAAAACUUUUGCUUCUGAAAGUCUCGAGAGUACGCACAAGGGCGAUGGGCCCUAGUCUUUGCAGCUACACAAUGUAGCGCCGCAGAGGCCAGUGGUAGCUGGGAUAGUAGUGACGAAAUAAGCUUCGUCAUGUAGCUUGCUGCACUUGCUGCUUUGAGCUGCACAGCACUGGAUCAGAGUGCGCUGGACCCCCGGCUAGCUCCGCAAUCGUUAAACCGACCUCUUUUUGUCUCUGCUACCCUGAUACAGUGCAGACUGCGCACUAAUGCAGUCGUUCUCCCGUCUCAAUCUCAAGUAUAUAGAGUAUCUAAUAUAGUCUCAAAUGCAGGAUGCAAUGUAAUGGCCAAUAAUGCAUAUGGAAAGGAGAGUAUGCGCAGCACACGUCGUCGUUCUCAUUGCCUCAUUGGAAAGAGAUGAUGAUUGGCCAUUUCAGUUCACAGCCCUGGAUGGUGUGUAGCAAUUCAAUAUCUUUACCACAGGCACGCACGCACGCAUGCGUAUAGCAGGAGCGAGGCAGCAGCCUGAUGUAACUGAAGCUGGCACACACGCAUCGUGACGAUCAUUGACGACGACUCUCCCUUGCAUUGGAGACCAGGCAGAUUCAGAUUAUUCAGGAGUACACACACAGAUACCCAUCAGCUCAGCUGAUAGCUAGCAUAGGUAACGACGUAGCCCUGCCAACUGCCAUCCCAUGUGUACAGUACGCCGAGCUGUCAGCGUCGUCACGCAACGAUCAUGCAUGCAUAUUGUAGCCCUAGGGAGUGGUGCACCGUUUCCCUGCUGCGAAGGGGAUCGUGAACGUACGCGUCCAGGGCCUCACUGACUCGACUACUGUUACGCUGCUGGCCAACCAUUCCUUUGGCGACGUCACUCUGACCCUGCUUACGUACAGCUACGUGCCUACGUCCUGCUACUGUUCCGGUAGAGAGAGAUGUACACGAUGCUUACGCCUUCACUAGUUCACUGGCACGUUGCAGUUCUUGUAGUUGUAGUUCUUAAAAAAAGAUAAGUUCUUGUAGUUGUAGCAAUCUAGCUGACCGUUGCUUUGCUUCGUCUGUUUUGCAUGCGAGCAUGUGAAGGCCUUGAAUUGUCCAUAGGGUAUGUAGUUGCAAGGAGUCUUCAUUCGACUCGUCGUCCAUGUUCUCUUUUGGAACGUUUAUGAGCACGAUCGACGACCUGAUCGAUCGAGCCGAGCGCGUAUGUGUUUACGNNNNNNNNNNNNNNNNNNNNNNNNNNNNNNNNNNNNNNNNNNNNNNNNNNNNNNNNNNNNNNNNNNNNNNNNNNNNNNNNNNNNNNNNNNNNNNNNNNNNUGUGUGCAUGGCCUGCCGUCUGCCGAUGAAAAGUGUCAUACGUCGACUUCGUAGAUGGAACUAAAGAGUGCAGCUAGCUCAGGUAGUAUCAGACGACGCAGAGACGAUCGAGUUGUAACUUGUAAGAAUAUACAUAUCGUAUAUCGAUCAGGUCCAUGUCCAAUUGAAAGAGCCAUAUACAUGUACGAAGUAAUUUUAAAAAUAUCACUUGUUUACAGGAUAGAGUAUCCGAGAAAAUUCAGGAGAAAUGGGCUGCUCGGUCGAUGUACCUUGUUGACAAGGUGACGUAUCAAGGUACAGUAGGGUGUCCUGUCCGUUAGCAGUUACUCAAACAGUCUACAGAACAAGGUCGACCUGAGUAGUCUACAGUGUACAUGUGUAGAUGAACCUGUAUAGCGCCAUGGUCAGAUCAGUAGUGCGCAGUACGCCUGGUUCAAAACUCUGCUAACACAGAUGUGGCGAAACAAUCCAUUGCCUUCACUCUCGCCUUGAUCUGAAAAUGGUUAUUGGUAAUUUGGUACAAUGGUACUAGUCCUCAACCCGUGGGCUAGCAUGUGCUAACAGCUUUGUCAAAAUAUACAUAGAUAAUAAUAGGACACUUGUAUGAAAUGCAUAUGUUUUAAGACUUACUUCUGUGCAUAUACUAACAAUGCUUUAUUAGCCUCGUGCAAAGUCAACAAUAAUAUUUUUAAACAUACUACACAGAUAAUAUACUUUUAUGAAAUGCUUAUAUAGGAUUUAAGAUUUAGGUGUAACUGGCUAUGUAUACCGAGUAAGAGCCUUGUGCAAAGUUACAUUUUCUUAGUUUGAACUCAUAUUCAUGACAGCAUUCAUCAAUAUGAAACAACGUAAGACACUAGUAUUUUGCAUCUGUUUUUUUGUUAUAGUGGUAUAUAUGAGUAAUUUCGAUGCAGGUAUUUUUGUUUGUUAGGUUAGUUUUCUAUGAUAAUAGAGGUGUGUGAUUUAUAAUCCGUCAUUGGAGGUACUACAAGUUAUUUUUUCUAAUGGUACAUAUAGGUAAUUUGAAGCAUGAAUUUAUGAUAAUAUGAGUUUUUUCUAAAGAUAUAGGUGAGUAAUUGAGGAGAAGGUAUUGCAGGUACUUUUAGCUAUUUUUUCUGUAGUGGUGGCAUAUGUGGGUAUUUUAAAAAUAUCUCUAUGAGUAGUUUGGAUUUUUUUUUCAUAUAAUGGUAACGGGUAAUAUAUAGAGAAUUUUCUAUUUAAGUCAACAUGGAUGCAGCCCAUCAUAAUGAUGGUUGGACCACUAGAAAAAUGAGUAGUCAGAUGGUUUUUAAAAAUUAGUGUGCAAGCUAAAAGGGACCUCAGUUGCUAAUCAGUAAGAUACCAAAAAUUUGGAAGUCAAAUAUCAUUUAAAAUAAUUAGCAUCUUAAACCAUAAUAGUUUAAAUUGUGAGUUUAUUUGGUCGAGUGUAAACAUUAACUAUCUCGUUAGAUGAAAUCGAUCUAAUUAGACAUGGAUUCAGUUUCUCAUCAUAAGAUACGUAUGCCAAUUUUUUGUACUUAGAUUAUUAUGUCACACGCACCAUGUACCUGCAAUGAAGUUGUGGCAAUAUAUUAGCUUAGACAAACAAUGACACAGGCCUCACGGUGACCUUAAUUUUGUCAUGGGCACAAUUUAGACUUGAAAGUGUGGCGAAAAUGAUUUUAGGUCAUAAACUAUACAAGUUUUGUAAUCCCAAUUCCUUUUAUUAGGUAAGUCGCCGCGCAUAAUGACGUAGAGUUGCUUAGGUCAUUAUUGCCAUAUUUAAACAUACUUUAACUUUAUGAAGUGUAGUGUGCCAUAUUUUUUGCAGGUAUCAAAUCGUCGACCACAACUUGAGUUAAAUGUGGCUAGAAAAUCUUUCAAUGACACGUGAGUCGAUAUAAGAAAAAAAUUUGACUUGUCAAAUCUAUGGAAGCUAAUUGCCAUGCUCCGUUUAUUGUUAUUUAUCUUAGGUGUGUAUUAUUGUUGAAUUCUUUCAAAAUAUUUAGAUUUUGUAUUUACUUCUUAUUUGCCAAUAAAUUGCAAAAGAUAUACAUGACAUCUCUCAAGUAGCAUGAAGAUCACUACACCCUACUUUGCAUUUUGAUACUUGCAAUAUUUGAAGUAAUGGCAGAAGACUCAUACACACACAUACACUAAACAUAUAUGUAUCACUGAGUUGAACACGAGCAAAUAAUAGAGGAAACACACAUAACACAUUGUACUCGAGAUUGAAUAAAAGCAGCAGAUUCGAGCAAAAUUAUAAAAAAACUCGAGGAGCAACAUAGUUCAAUUACAAUAAGAGAUGUUUGCUAAUAAAUUUGGAAAUUUAUCUCCCCCUGCCACAAAUGUCUUUCUUUAAAGAUUUUGCAUAAUAUUUCCAGUACCCAAUGACAACGCAAAAGAUGAAAGCGAUUCAAAACUGGUGAAGUUCGGACGCUCCAAAGUAAGAAAGUUUUACACAGUCCGAGUGUAAAUGGUCUUUGCUUCCAAGUCAAGCCUACGUUUACAGUGAUUAUUGCAUUAGAGUGGCUAAUUGAUAGACUUCUUGCAUUUUGCUUUGGUGGAGUGGCAUUUGAGUUGAGUUAGAGCUAUUGCAUUUGCUUCGGUGAAGUGACAUUUGAGUUGUGUUAGUUUUUUUUUGUGGUGGUAUCUAUAUUUUUGUUGGUAGUGGUAGUCGUACUGUGUUUCCUAUUGGGCGAGACAGCUUGGUUUCUCGCAUAAAAUUCCAACCUCACUUUUUUCAUUACGGAGGGUGGUUUUGCUGUCCUCUUAAAAAAUGAAGAGAAAAAAAACACUAAUUAAAUCAUCUAUAACCAUCACAUGCUGCACCGGGAUAUCGCUCAGCCCUGUUAGGUCACCUAUGGGCUCACGUGUUUGUGCAAAGCUUUGUAAAUAAGCAGUAGUGUUUCUGGAAGAAAUGACAUCACACUGGACCAGAGAGAAGGAGAGAGUGGGGACAGGCAAACAAAAGGGGUGUUGGAAUCGGGGACGUAAUGCGGACGACAUCACGGCCUGGCAUCCUUGGACAAAAAAGACGCCUGCACUAUUUCGUCCCUAUGUGCACGCACGGGUACAUGAGACAAUCGACGUCCUAUGCCAAAAUUUUGUCACAGCCCCGGCCCCCUGCACACAUACACCAUACACGUACAGGCCACCGGCCGGUCACCCAGCGGCCUCUUCCUCCUCCGUCGUCCUCCCCAGUCCCCAUAUACACACACAACACACAAACCCAUCUGUGCUCUGCGCAGCACCAGGACUGGAUCGGGGAGCCCGCUGCUGUUUCAGCACGCGGCAGCGCACAGCGCCAUCAGUGCUCAUCGCUUGCUCCACACCGUGCCGGCCCAGUCAUCAGUCUCCCUCCCUGCUACAUACAUGAUGCUUAGCAUAGCAGCUUGCUCAUCGGCAGGACAGUCUCCACACCACCAUGCAUGAUGCAUGCGCGCCCUGUGGAUUACACCGAGGAGAUCUUGGCUCCAGCCGCGGCUGCUGCCGCUGCCACCGCCUGCCACCUCCCGGCGAUGUCGGCGGCGGCGCUCAGGGCGUCCGCGCCAGCGCCGAGCAGGCCCCGGCCGGAGAAUCCCACGCAGUACAGCCCGUUGGGACCCCUCCAGCUGCUCGCCGGCUGCUGAGCCUUUGCCUUGCCGUCCUCCGUGAACAGCUCGCUAUCCUGUACGUCGCCAUGCACACGUAUCAUCAUCAGCAACGGCAGCGGCCGGGGUGUCGCGUUGGUGUGUCAAUUUGAUUGGAGCACUAGUGGCCGCGUUACCUUGAGCCAGGAAGGGACGUUGCUUCUGUAGCCGGUGGCGAAGAUGACGGCGUCGAAGUCCAUCUCGUUGCCGUCCACGAACCUCACCCCGUUGCCGCCGGUGAAUGACUCGACCUCUGGCACGAUCUGCAUCCGGUGCAGAGCACACACAAGGCGUCAGAAGUGCACAUGCAGAUAGACGUAUAGACAAGGUGGUUUCAGGUCAAAUGGAAUGUGACAUUACUCACUACACGACACAGCUAAUCGUAAGGUUAUUUACACGGUGCUUAUAAGUGAGAGUGAGACCACUGCACAAAGUUGCUAGAUGGAUCAGCCAGCACAUUGGGGAAUGGUCCAUGAAGAUGCUAUUUUUGUUCAGCUGGCAGUUAUUUUGUUUUCAUGCACGAUACGAUACGCCUCAGAUGACAGCUACGUAUUUGCGUUCUGCGACGACCCCAAAGUACAGGCGCCUGCACCAGGCAGGCCACCAGACCCAAGGCCAAGUGGUAAAAUACUUUGGCCAAUAAACCAGGCAGAGAGAGGGAGAGCAGAUAAAACUGUAAAAAAUUUCACCUCACGCACCAACAAAGGGGAAUGUUGUAGAAACCUCAAAAGUGAAAGCUAGCGUUGGCAUGACAUGGGAAAGGAAAAGAAAGGAAAGGAAGGAGGCACACAGCAUCCACUCUUUUGACAGCCCUCACCUUGAUGUUUCCAGAUUUGAUCAAUGACCAUGCUCCCACGUCGAGAACAGGGCUCUUGCCGGUGAUGUUCUUGAUCUCCAGCGGGCCCAGCUUGGGCCGCCUCAGCCCGUGCUUCUCCGUGUCCCCCAGGACCAUCUUGGCGACGAGGAGCAGGAACCUAUCCACCAGCUUGAUCGGCAGCCACUUGAGCAGCUUCAUGGCGAUGCCGAACGUUGACGUCCCAAACAUCUCUCUUGGUAGGACGUGCACCUGCUUCAUACAUUCCGACAUGUGCAUAGAUGCAUGUUAAUUAACAAGUGGCGAACAAGAUGCUCAAGAACAUUAUUAAUGAUUACAAAAGAUUUUCAUAGGAAAAAAAGAGAUAAUAUCACGAAAGAAAAUGCUUCAUAUAAUGAAACUUGCUUAUUGACGGAACGCCAAAAAAAAUGUUACAUAGUGUGUUACCAAGGUCAUUUUUUUAGAAAACCUUAGAUUAAUACAGUAAAAAAAGAGAGAUGAUAUGAUCAAGUAGCAACUACAUGAAUCUUAACUGCCAGUUCUUUCAAAAAAAAAAACUACAUGAAUCUUAAGGAAGAAUGGCUAGCUUACCCCGCUCCUGACAGACAUGAAGGGCAUUGCACCAUGCUCGCACAAAUCCAAGCACAUCUCCAUCCCGGAGUUGCCGCACCCCACGACGAGCACCCUCAUGCCCUUGAACCUCUCGCCACUCCUGUACGCGCUGGAGUGCAGCACCUCCCCGGCAAACCUCCCCCUCCCCUUCACCUUGGGCACGACCACCUCGGCGUUCUCGCCGCUGGCCACCACCAACCACGGCGACACGUACUCGGUCGCUCGGCCGCCGUCCUCGGCCGACACUGCCGUCACCCGCCAGAGCGACGCCGCCGCGUCGAACCGCGCCCGGGUCACCGUGCGCCCGAACAGCGGGGACACGGCGAAGCGCGCGGCGUAGGAGCGGAGGUACCGGAGGAAGUCGUGCUUGGUCGGGUACGUGGGGAAGUCGGCCGGGAAGCCGACGUGGGGGAGCUCGCAGAAGACCUUGGGGAGGUGGAGGCGGAGGCGGUCGUAGGUGCGGUUCGUCCACAGGUCGGCGAUGCCGUCGGAGCGCUCCAGCACGGUGAAGGGCACCGCGUGCCGGCUCAGCGCCGCCGCCACGGCGAGGCCCGACGGCCCGGCGCCGACGAUGAUGGGGCCACGCACGAGGCAACAACCGGCGCCCGAGUUCUGAUCCCGCCUGCUAGGGCUAUUACCAGCAGCGUCAGCAGCUUGCUCCUGCAUGGUUGAUGACGGCCGGUGCAAGCAGGCAAGAACCAACGAGCUAGCUAGAGCUAGAUAGCUAUCUAGCAAUGGAAGCAGCUGAUGCAAUGGAAGCGACGACGCUAUCUUGCUUCUAGGAAAGAAUGGAGUAGCUCUGAUGGAUGAGAGGAGCUAGAGCUAGGAGGUAGCUGAAGGUGUAGGCAGCAACACCACACCGUCCUAAACUGCUACGGGCAACGUCUUUUUACCACUCUUGCAUGCGCUACAGUGACAGUGUAAGCAUGGAGGGGGUUGAAAAAUUGAAAAGGUGAAGAGGCGUAGUAGUAGUAGUAGUGAGCUCAGGCUGAGGGUCCCUCUACUCCCCUAUAUAUAAGGAGAGGUGAAAAUGUAAAAAGGACUGCUUACAUUGUACUGGGCCAUCUCUAUCACUACUGUAGGAAUGAUUGCCCCAAUCUUUUCAGGUCAAGGGAAAAAAAAAUCAUAUUUUUAAUCUCUUAUUUUAUCAUUCUCCUUUUUCUCCCAAGAAGAUAUAUGUUUCUCUGCAGGCACUCCAAGAACUCGAUCAGAGAUCAUCAAAUCUGAUAUGAGAUCCUGUCAUGCAAUGCACUGCAUUUUGACAGGCUAAUCGUGUAGGCGCCAUUGCCAGCAUAUGCAUGAACAUUGUUUCCUGUGUCGCUUCCGCGGAUCUUAAGAUGAAUCGUUCAAAGUGGUCCUUGGUUAGUGUUCAUCCAACCAAUCAUUAAUUUCCUUGUUCUCUGAACUUUAAGCAUGGCCAUUGCUGCCAUAUCCAUAGCGCAGAAAAUAUAUAAAUGUGUACUUUCUUUUGAAUAGCAUGGCAUAGCACACACCUCCAGAAAAUGGUUGGCAAGUAGGAAGUCCUGAAUUGGGACAUUCUGCUGUACUUUGACAGACAGCCUAGGUCAACCAGCCCUUUUGCUUAAAAAUAAGAUAUAGAAGAUCUUCAAAGCUUACUUUAUUAGCAGUCUAUUACCUAGCUACUUAGGACCUACUAAUUGCAAACUAAUUUCACAUUUGGACUAAUGAACUAUCUUAGUGUAUUAGGAAGCAGGGAGGAAGGACACAGAGAGGCAAAGACUAGAUUCAUCAUUGCAAUUUUCUAAUGGUUUACUUGGUAAUUGACUCUCAUGUGUCAUCAGAUAAGGAAGAACUAAACGAAGCAUACUGAAUCUUCCGACUUGAGUUAUCAAAAUCUACAGAUUCAUCAGAUGCUCUGUCUGGUUUAGCUCCCAUUGUCUCCACUAAGCGUGCAUGAAUCGAUUAAUAAAAUUCUGUAAUCAAGAAGUUGAUAUGGUGACGAACUCUACAAUGCUGAUCGAUAGGUUGAGGACACUACAGCUACUCAGAGAUCCCAUCAGCACAUGGAUGUUCACAUUGAACACAUUGCUGUUCCAUCCUAUUAGUGAAAUAUUAGCUGUUCUGCUUGGAGGUUGUCAUGGUUGGAGAAUGGUACUUUCAGUUCAACUAAUAUAUAAGAAAAAUGGGAGGAGUCAGAUAUUAUUCUUUUUCUUGAAGAUGCCUGGCAAACAUGGAUACCAUGAUGAAGUUGCAGCAUUAAACUGCUGAUAUGAUGAAUUGCUAGUUAACAAAAAAGUCAGGAACAUAAAAAAACUCUUGUCAAGUUAAACCUCAGCCUAUAAAGACAAUGUGAACGUGAAUGGCAGCUAAGCAAAAUAAUUCAACGAAUUCGAUCUUUCAAAAAAUAAUUCAAUGAAUUUUAGCAAGAUUGGUCAAAGCAGUAGUGAACACCAUAUGGAUGGAUUUACAUUUCAGACAACAGAGUACCUGCAGCUUCAGUUUAUCGCCUGCAUCUGCUGAAGAAUUCAUCCCAGGUGCAAGGCUCCUUGUGAAGGAGUUCUCCUGUAACACCACGCCUAGACUUCAGAUUGGAUCUAUGAGCAGCACCAACUUCGUUUAAAAUAAAAUAAUUUAUUACCGAAAAACCAGAGAGAAACUGUGUAGACAGCAAGAACAAACCUAACCUUUUCAAUUCCACACAAAAAAGAAACGUCCGGGUGUCUGAGGCAUUUCGCCGAACAUGUUGUCCCUGGCCAGAGUCCCGUUCCAGUCUUGGGGCUUCAACUGCAUAUCUGCAUCAGCAAAAUUAAAGAGCCUAGGUAAAUAGGCUGGAGGAUAGAUUGGAUCAUUGAACCGAUCAGAUGUUGCUAAAAUUCACCUCCCAUACAAGAAUUUCCCUGCCAUUUUGUGAGAUCGCCGAUCGCCGAGCGGCAAGCAGGGCCCUCCAGAAAGAAUAGGUCGACAACGUAUUGACAGGGUAUCCAAAGGAAUACGCUUUCCGCUCUAGAGCACGGGUUUACAAAGGUUUCCGGAGACACCUUGUGAAGGCGACUAAGCACUGUUACCAUGAGUACGUCUUCGUAUUCUGAAAACAUACCGAUGGAAUUCGCUAGUGCGAAGGCUCGUAGUGCACCUACAUUGCCUUUUAUCUCUAAAGAGACGAAGGAAUCAAAGCCCAAUAAUGCAGAUUGCAGACGUUAUGCUCGGCGAGUGAGGAUCUUAUCCGGCGAAUACUCUGUAGAAAACGUUAUCAAGAUGAAUAUGCCUUGCUUCGCUACUGGAGUAGUACAUCUUAAUCAUAUUCCUAGUAGGAAUGCAGGAUCAAGUUUCAAGAUAUACAUGAGCUUUUCAGAUUUGGAACUUUCCUCACAAAUCCUAGUGCUGCACUUGUCACUGAUGACAGUGCAACUGUUCGUAGUCGCAUGCAUAAUUAUUUGCCAUAAUCAAUGUCGUAUCUAUAUGUUCAGACAAUCCAUCGCACCUGGUGUGUGAAUACUGAAUAGAACAUCAUCUUUUACCAUUCUGGGCUUUUGCCUGUCUUUUAUUUGCUACACUGUGUGAAUAGACAGGCAAUUUGUUGCCUGCCGCAGGAUGGUGUGUGUUUUUUUAAGAAGAGCUCAUCCUGCUUUUUAUAGAAAGCCAUAAAGAUUUGUUACAGAGCGUUUUGCUGGGAUACCAGUUUACGAGAAAAAACUUCAGAAAAGCCUAGCAACAUACUAAGCUGAAUAAUCUGCAGACAUAUGCUAAAAGAUUACACCAUCAGAGUCUAUCAUAGAAGGUAACAGCAGCUCAAAUGAAGUCCACCAUCAGGUCUUGAUUGCAUUCCUCUUCUAGAAAUCUUUUCACCCAGGUCGCCACUUGGUUGUUUAGCUGUUCCAGGCAGCCUCUGUCAGAUUCCUGCAGCAAUAUUUUCCACCUCUGCAAGUAAGAUGAGAUAGCAAAGAUGAAAUCACAUGGUGAAUUUGGGAAUUUGCGUUCAAUUCUCAGCUUGUUUCAUUGAUUCCAUAACACCCACAAGAUUAUUGUAAAGGAAAAAAGAAUCGUAUCAUAAUUAGCUCCCUAAAACUAGCCACCCCUUAUAAACUCAUGCAGGCUGCAUGGAGUGUUCUCCCAGCUGAGAGCUUUCUUGAAACACACCCAAACAAAUUUAGCUAAGAUGCAUCGAAAGAAAAUAUGAUCAGAAGUUUCUAGCACCCCACAUAAAAGGCAUCUGGCAUCUCCUUUCCAUCCCUUUUCUCUUCAACACCUCACCCGAGGGGAAUCUGUUAUGGAAAAGAGACCACAGGAACAUCCUUAGUUUCAUUGGCAUUUUCUUUUCCAUAGCCUGAUCGCACGUCUGUCCUGCACACCCUGGAAAUUAGAAAUCUGUACAUAGACUUGGUUGUGUACUGUCCCUUGCUCUCAAGCCUCCAGACCACCUUGUCCCUUUGGCCAUUCAGGUAAAUAGGGUCAAGCUUGUCCAGAAGCAAAUCCCAUUCUCGGACUUCGUUGGGACCAGACGGUCGCCUGAAGUCUACAACCCAUUCUCCCCCUCACCAGCACUUGCUGACCAGGACCUCUUGGUCCCUGCAACAAUCAUAUAGCCUGGGAAACUCUAGUUUAAGGGGAAUGUUAUCUAGCCAAGUAUCUUUCCAAAAUCUCACAGAUUCCCAUUGUUGACUUGGAAGGUAGCUCCAAAGAAGAACUUAUCUUUGACUUUAUGCAGCCCUUUCAAGAACUGAGACCCCCCUCCCCCCCUCCCCCCCCCGCGCCCUCUUUCUAUGGAUAAAAGUAGUGUUUCUAAGGUAUUUCGCUUUUAGGAAGGAGCAACACAUGUCCCCCUCCUCUGAAUUGUAUAUUCUCCAGACCCAUUUGAGGAGCAACGCUUCAUUUAGGAUUCUAGUGUUCAUUAUGCCCAGCCCAUCAUAGUCUUUAGGGAUGCACAAAUUUUCCCAUUUAACCAUGUGGUAUUUGAAUUUAUCCCUAGCCCCCCUCCAGAAAAAUCUUGAUCUGAUUGUGUCCAUCUGCUGGUGCGUCCCUUCAUGGAGCAUGAACAUUCCCAUAAGAUAGAUAGGCAUGCUACUAAGGGAGGAGUUUGUGAGAAUGAGUCUCCCACCAGAUGUCAGGUUCUUCCUCUUCCAAGGUUGUAGCUUAUUUCUCAUUUUGUUCACCAUUCCCCCAAAGGCUUGCAGACCUACAUUCUUAUCAUUGAAAGAGUAUAUAAGCCCCUAGUGGGUUUUGGUGUGUUGAAUGAUAACUAGAUUAAAGGUCUAAUAAACUUGUUAAGCAUGUGAGCAAGUGUAAUAUUAUUGAUGAAUAAUCUUUAUGGGAAAGAUUCUAUUAAAUGGCUCAUAUGGUGAAAAGAACAAGUGUGAUACAUGGCAUUGUUCAUCUAAGUACGAAAAGCAAGCAAUGAUGUUAAAGAUGAGUUGAGGCUUGGUUGAUAGCGUCAUAGUGCAAGAUUUCUUAAUUUGAAGAUGAAUGCCAUAACAAUGAAUAUUGUAUAAUCUCAUGGUGUUCAUGUGUAAUAUAUGACAAGCAAAUUAAGGUGAAGAUAGAGGUAUGAUGGCAUUGGGUUAUUGUUCGGUCUCUAAAUAAAAUGAGAAGCUUGUUAGCAACAAAUGGAAUAUUGAAGUCAAAAGAAGAUAUGAUCUCAAGUGGGUUUCAUUCUUGAUGUCAAAACAAAACUAGACUCAAAUGUGGCAGCAAUUGGAUGAAGGAAUCAAGCAAGGGAUUAGCAAUGAGGUACUAAGCGAAGUUUGGUCAGGUGGUGACUUGGGCCAUGAGCUUUGCUAGGGUGAGUGGCUAGUGCUUGCAGGAUUUCGAGGUAUCAAGUCAAGCCUAACCGAGUAUAGCAAUGGGUUGCAUCAAAUAUUUAUUGAGUCAUAUAAAAGGGUGACUUGUGAUCUAAAGUUGGAUUUCAUUCAUAUGUGUUGAAUAUUGAUCCAAGUCACUAGCUCAAGGUUGAAGUGCUCAAACCAAAGAGACAAACAUGGAUACAGCCCUCAAGUGGAUAUAUUGAUCAAGUAUGGCAUGGUUCAUGAUGAUGAAGCUCAAGUAAAGGAAUAGUGUGUUUAUAUUUUAAUCUUGAGUAUAUGUUUGCCGUACUACCAAGAGGGGUGCAUCACAUGGUUAUUUGACAAAGUUUCAGUGCUCAAGUUUCCUAUGUGAAUUGAUGAGAGACACAAAAGCCACACGUACACACUCUGUCAAUUCAGGCAGUGGUAAAAUCAAAAGCUCCGAUUUUAGAAAUAGGAAGUUCCGGUUUUGGAUGCCACGUGUCACUAACAGCUAGUUGGUUUGAAAAACCGGAUGUUCCAGUUUUGGGAAACCGGUAGUUCUAGUUUUGGUCUGACACCCUAAUGGCUAGUUUUUGAGGGGUGGUGUAUUUAUACCCCACGCCCUCUCCAGUUGCUUGCUGCUGCUUCUGAGGUUGCUUGUGUACUUCUUGCCUGUUCUAAGCUAAACUAAAGCCAAAAUAGCUCUUCCCAACCCCUCUUUGUAAGGUUGUGUGAUCUUUGUUAGUUCUUGUGAGUUGGGUAGUAAAGAGGAGCCAUUCAUGAGUAUAGUAGAGCACUCAGUUACUUGAGCACCGGUUUGCCUCGUCAAGUUUCAAGUGAAGCAUUUGUUACUCUUGGAAGUGUGACUCCUAGAUGACUAGGUGUCGCCGGCUAGCUCCCAAAGGUGUGGUGAGCAGCGGCAAGUUUGUGAAGGCUGCAAUAUUGCCUCCGCAAGAAAAAAGGUCAUCUAGUGGGAACGAGGAAAGUGGUUGAAAGAGACCCAGCACAUUGGAAGGGAGUUGAGUAGACUCGUAUUCCAAUGGGCUCCUCAACGGAGAUGUAGGAUUCAUAGUGGUGAAUCUGAACUUCGGUGAAACAAAUCAUCGUGUCUCCUCGCUGAUUUGCUCUCAUUUGCAUUCAUUGUUGAACUUGUGAAUUUGGUUGAUCUACUCAGGUGUUUGUGUUUGUGAAGUGCAGGAACUUUGUGAGCCUGAUGAGAAACACCUACUGAGCCUCUACACCAAGUCUAGUUUGACCUUGAGCUCAUUUGCCACUCUGUGCGUUGGGGGUUCUCUCUACUCGAGCUAAAACCGAAGGUUUCGGUUUCUGGCAAAGAGAGUUUUAUUCCACUACAAAUGUGCUUAGUCUCUUAGCUUUGAAAAUUUCCGUAGAUUGCUUCAGAAAUUCUAUAGGUUACGGAAUUUCUGGAAACAUCUCCAAAAAUACCAGAAGUCGCUGAUAAACUUAUUUUUAAUUUGCGAUAAUUUCAGGGUACGCCUAUUCACACCCCCCCUCUAGGCGAUAUCAAGAUCAUUUCCAUCACUCAUAGGAAUGCCUAGGUAAGACAUUGGAUGCCCCCCCUCCCACUUUACAGUUUAGCAUAUCUGCAAUUCUGGACUGUUCCUCUUUCGAGAUUCCGAAGGACAGAACCUCGCUCUGGUGAUAGUUGAUUUUAAGGCCUGACAUCCAUUCAAAACAGUACAAUAGGAAUUUCAUGUUGAUUAUAGUCUUGUCAUCGCAGUCCAUCAUAAUGACCGUAUCAUCUGUGUACUGAACAUGAGUGAGGCCCCUGGGAACAAGGUUGGGAACCACCCCUCUAAUGUGACCUUUCUUUUAGCUUUGUUCAGGAUGUUGUCUAAGGCAUCUGCAGUUAGGUUAAAAAGCAAAGGUGACAGUGGGUCCCCCUGCCGCAGCCCGUUGCGUGUCUUAAAGUAUGGCCUGUUUUCGCUGUUGAUGUUAAUACAUACUUUCCCACCCUGGACUAUGCUCAUGAUCCACUGGAUGAUGAGAGGAUCAAAGCCUUUCCUCUUUAGAACCUGUUCCAUAAAAACCCAACUUACGCUAUCAUAAGACUUCUCGAAGUCGAUCUUCUUAAUCACCCCCUUUUGUCGAAGAUGUAUCUCCCCUUGAUGAAUGUUGACUGGCACUUGCCAACCACCUUGGAUAAUCUUGACAUUAUCAGUCGUGUAAAGAUUUUGAAGCUGACAUUGAGGAUAAAAAUGGGCCCGUACUGCUUGACAUUGUUAGCAUUCCCUCAUUUUGGUAUUAACGUGAUAACCCCGUAAUUCAGUCUUGUCAUGUCUAAUUCCCCCCUGUAGAAGUUGUUUAUCAUUUCCAUUAAUUCCCUUUUGUCUAGAUGCCACAUGACCAGAGGUCUUGCAACGAACACAUAGUGGGUCAUUAGUGCAGCCUGACUGCACCAUUGGUAGGAUCCCAUCUCUUGGGAGCGAAAUCCACCAGUCAGAUUACCUCCCUUCUCACAAAAAUCACCCCAUGUCCCUCUUGGACCCAUCUCGAACCAAGGAUUUCCAAGUCUCAUGUAUUGGGGUGGGGAUUUUGUUGCCUUGAUUUUGCUAGGGUAUGUUCUUCAGAUCAUCCAGGUUCAUCUUUCUGAGGUCUGCCCCCCUUGGGUCAAUUGCUCUUCUCUUCGUGUAUGUCUCAUCACCUCCAGAAUCCUGACGAGAGCCGGAGUGAGUUGACCAGCUUCUGGGAGCUUCACGCGUGCCGUGCAACCUUUCCCGGAGUUGAGCUUCUUUGUGGAAUCCAUCGUUGGACCGGUCCUCCCUGCGUUCCCGAUCAAAUCGACCACCCCCUCGGAGAUCUUCCUCAAAGUUGCGCUUGGGAACCCCUCCCUGAUCUGUCCAUCUUGGAGGUCUCUGUUGAUCUCCUCUCAUCUCCCCAAAUCGAAGGGCGUCUGCGAAGAAGGCGGCAAGUGGUGGCGGUGGAUGAACCCUAGCUAGACAAUCCCUGCGAAUUUCCUCUUUUCUGGCUGGGUAUCCCGAUUCCCCCAACAGUGCAAGUUUGGGUAUCUAAAUCCAGAUGGAUAUGGGCUCAUCUCUCCAAGAGUGAGCGUAGAGGUCCUCAAUGCUACGGCCAAAUGGGGGCCAUCCCUGUUUCUAUAGGGCCUGACCCGUUCUGACUUCGUCUCCUUCCUCGCACCCAAUUGCGGGUCCUCCCCUAUGAACUGAGAACACCUCGGAAUCCUAUUGAUCGUCGCCUCCAAUUGCAGCAUGGAUAGCUUCAAAUCCACAUCCCCCCAAAUAUCAUGUGAGCAAUCGCUCGCAGCAGCUGAUCCUGAGAUUGAUUUUGAGUCCCCCCCCCCCAAAUAAGCAGAGCUUUAGCUCGCGGGCAAUUCAUUUGUAAUGACUUAGGUUUAAAUCAGCUGAGAUAAUCUUAAGACAAGCCUAUAAUCUGGUUGACUCAGCUUAUCUUGAGCUAUAUCGGCUAAAGUCCGGUUUUCAGCCCAACCUAGCGCCUUAAGGAGGGUUUAUCUUUGGAGCGUUGAGCAGGACGCCAAGAAAUUCCUUUAAGAAAGUUGGAGAACGAAGUCCCUGCUACAACCUUGUUAGUUGGACCUUAAUCCUUUUCAUCUCCGAAGAUUCCCAAAUCUGCAGCUCAAAUCAGCCCCGACCCCUGAAACCGACAGACCGCAGUUUUUCUCUAAGUCCCGAAACCAGUGUUCCUCCAAACUUUGGAGCCGUGGAUCCCCAAAUCCACUGCGUUUUUGGACUCAGUCCAAUUGCAAGAGUUGGACCUUGGCCUGAAUUCUACAACAUUUGUUAAGGCAGUAGAAGUGGUGCAAUUUGGAAACUGGGAGAACCAGAGACUGGAAGAUGGACCCAAAAACGAAUCCCACGGAUCUCUCGGGUCAAGCACGUCAGAGCAAGCGUGCGCCCUGUCUCAGAGCCUCGUCGCCGCGUGGCUUAACCUUCCCGACGAGCGCCGCCUCGCCCAGUCGCCGGUCACGACAAGAUGGAUCAGCGCGCCUCCUCUCCAAUCGCGCACAGAAGCGCCCUGCAGCCCUUUUCCGCCUCGUCUCGUCUCGCCCGCAACCUCGCCGGCCACGCCAGGCGCCUGUUGCCGCUGCGACCAAGGAUUAGCCACUGCUGCGCCAGUCCGCCUCGCCUCUCGCGCACAUCUCCUCACCAGGAUCCCUGGUCGCGCACCCCAACAUCUUCCGGCUUUUCCGUUGCCCCUCAGUCGAGCUGCCCACGCGCGCGCCCCGCGAUGAUGCCGCCUCCGCCAACCACUGUGCCGGCAGUGACAACUCUUUUCCCCCACCUCGCCAGUAGCGUGCCACGGCAAAGCCGCCGGUUCUGCGCUUGCUAGCGUCGCCGCUCGCCCGGUCACCUCGCCUGCAGUGCCCCUUCCUUCCUUCCUGCCGCACACUGGCCGAGUCGCCACACCCAAUCCGAUGCUUGACGCGACCAGACCCCGCGCUCGACCUCGCCAAUCCUUCCCUCCGGUAAAACUGCGCCUGCAUAGCGCUGUCUUCAGUGCCUAAUACCGUAAGACCCUGUCCCCGGAGCUCCGCUUCGCCGGCCAAUGGAGGCAUCAACCAAUUGCUACCACAGCAGAGCACUCCAUCCUCUUCGACCUUAUCCUCGCGCUGUCCGAACUCUUUCUCUUCCGCGCAGCUAUAAAAGGGAGUACCAAAGCCUCUACCGAAGUUCCCUUCGCCAUCGUUGCUUUGCCGCACCUUCCUCUGUUUCGUGCUAAAGCGCUGCCGCAUAAGCUCAUUGAGGAACUCCCCCUCUCCGCUCAACACUCGCCUUCCCACACCCACCAGCCGCUUGCUUCCUCCACGUCGAGCUAGAAGCUUAUUUGUUGUCCACAAGAAGCACCGCCGCCGCCAGAAACUUAGCAUCGUUCGUCGUUCCGCCUGAGCUUGCUCCAUCCCGACCCCAAGACUUCACCAGUAGGCACAGAGGUAAGCUGUCGACCCCUGUCCGUCUCGCCCAACCCCUCUCCGUUUCGCCCGACCCCUAUCUGCUUCGCCCGACCCUUGUCCGCCUCGCCCGAGGGUUCAGCUGUAUCCUUUUUCUUUUGACCAAGGGUAUCUGCGUAAAAUUUCGGGGACUUCUCUGUGUUAAGUCUGAGGACCCCAGUACAGUUAUUCCUUAGGUCUGAGAGUCAGAUCAUAAGUUUUCCCGAUCUGACUCUUUUAUCUUGUUUUCUAUCAGCAGAAGCUUGGUUUUCCACACCUUUCUUGUAGUUUUGCUACAAGUUUCUGAGCUAAAGCUUGCAAGUGUUGUUGAAAUAACCAUCUAAGUGUUUUAACCCCUGCAUUUGCAUUCUGUGUAGAGCUAAACCUCGCCGACGGCACGUACGAGCUGCACCCGGUGCCAGAAGACGGAGCGGUAGCCGAGCUGCCGACUGCAGGAGCUGAAGCAGAGCACCCAGAAGAUCAGUUUGCUUCCACCCCGCUCGAAGGCAAGCCCCGGAGCAUAACCCAUUCUUUCUAAACUUGCGCAUGCCUUCAUUUGUAUGUAUGUGCAUUUACGUUAUAGGAGUUGUUUGAAACCAUAGCUGCAUGCCUCAGUUCCCUUGAUCUGAACACUAGCAUAAUAAGUCCGAGUAGUUGCAGUGCUUAAUAGGACUCGGUAAAAGUCGAGUGAUUCCCUGUCACUCGCGAGUUAUAGGAGUUGCUUGUUCUCCUUCUGGUUACAACUAUAAGGACGGUGGACGGGGUAGGGCCUUGUGAACUAUUUUGGUGGUAGGUGGAUUGUCCUGUCUGUCUACUUGAAAUUGGUUAAGGUCAGAAAGUGUUGGUGUUCGUGAUCAAGUGUUUGAAAGUACUAAUCUCAUACCUAGUAUGGGAUGGGGAAGCCUAGUACCUGAUUGAACUAGGCGUGGCUUAUACCUCUGCUGUCCCUGGAACGAGGUUCCCAUGGUGCAUCAUGUGGGUGCAAGUGCGGUCACAGUGCAGCGAUAGGCCGGGACUGUGGAGCAUUGCAUGCCAAGGGAAGUUUGGACCUGACACGUGCCUGGGAAUUGAUGGGGACGGCUGACACAGGAAGCGACCCUCUGUGGUGUGCGGAUGUCGUGAGAUUAGGUUCUCCAUGCAUGGUUAAGAAAUUCGAAUCGAUUCGUCUGCCUCUCACAGCUUGGGACUGCUUGAUCGCUAUGUUACACUGAGUAAAGAUGGAACACGAUGAUAAUGUGAACCUUAAUGCUUGCUCUUUAAAUUGUUUGGAAACUUUGUUUGCUUAGCAUAAGUUGCUAAUAUAGACUGGUUAAUGAACUUAGAAUCUGAGCUAAAAUAUUGAAGGUAAGGACCUACUGUAGUUGCUUUUGACAAAACAAACCCCUCAGCCAAAGAGCUUUGCAUGUCUAGAAGUUGGUGGAGUAGUUUUCCCACCGGUCGGUUAAGUCUUGUUGAGCUUAGCAGCUCAGCCUUGCUUGUGGCACAUCUUUCAGGUGAUGUUGAAGUUUCUGAGUGUGCUGUUGUUGGCACUUGGCCUCCCCAGCUUCCUCCUGGGUGGAUGGUUGAGUGGGAUCCCUCCUCGGACGGCGAGGAUAGGGACCACUGAUGUCCUGAUCGGCCUCAUCAGGGACAUCCGACCCGGCGCUAGCUUCCGUUGUUCUGUUUUAUUUUUCCGCUGCUCAUGAUCUUUGUAAAACUCUGAUUUUCGAACCUGUGUUGUAAUAAAAUUUGAACUUGUUUAGGUGGAUGAUCUAUUGUGUUAUCUGGAACCACUUAUCUUCGUGUGAGCUAUGCUAACUCGAUCCUGUAUAGUGGUUUUAUCGGAUGAAAUCCGACGGACUGCCGAGUUAACUUGAUUAAAGCAUAUGAUCGCAUGUUAGGUGACUUAAUUGUGCUUUAGCCAAGUUAAUCCGAGCGGUUCCGCCACGUCGUUCCCUCUCAAUCUCACGAUCCCAAUCCGAGGUAGGAACUCCUUCUGUUGCGAAUCGUCCACGGGUGUCCUGCUUGCAACCUCCGAUCUCCCCCUCUGAUUAAGGAAAAAACUCUGUUCCCCCCCUUCGAUCGUGUGGUGCGGAGCAGAAACCACCAUGGGACUCACCUCGGUUCACGCGGUCUUAGGGGGAGACUCCGUCGAGGCCGGGGUGUCUCGUCGGGGUCGCCCGCUCGCCGGAGGAGGGCGCCGCCGAGCUCGCUCUGAGCGCUCUCGAGUCUCUGGCCCUCUUAACACCCACCAUCCGGCCGCAGAUGAAGUGCCUGGGCUUGUCCCCGUCGCUGAGCGCGGCCACCGCGUCAGCCUCAUCCUUGAACACGACGAAACCAAAGCCGCGGUCGUGGCCCAUCUCCCUGUCCCGCAUCAUGAUGACGGAGCGCACCUCCCCGAAGCGGGCGAAGUGCUCCCGCAGCUCGCCCUCCUACGUGCCUGACGGGAUGCCGCUUCUGGCUCUCCCCCGCCACCCCCUCCUCGUCCGUCGCCGGGCCAGCACCGACCCCCUGCGCUGCCGCCGCCGCCGCCAUCGCCGACGAAGAAGGAACCAUUUUACCCCUCUCCAUUUUACAUUAGGCAGCUAGAGCCGAUGCACGGUACCGCAGGAUGGUGUAGUGCACCUAUUCCAAGGUCAGCCGUUCCAUGCAAAUUGUUGGAAGUCCACUUCGCCGCGGCUAUGCUUGCAAAGUCCUUUUGUCUUUGUGUACUUGUUGCAAUGCAAUGUAAAGCAGCAAAAGGUUUAUUCGGUGGAAUUGGAACAGAAAUGCUAGCUGCAAGUAGCAGCGACGUCUCGACUUGAUCAAGUCAACUGAGCUGCGUCAGCGCUCCUGUGUUUCGAAACAAGACGUCUUACGCUCAAGGUUGAUUAGUAUCGUUCCUGAAUUAGCCUGAGUAAGAAGUAAUUUGGUGCAGAAAUAUGAAGCAAGGAAAUAAUAAAGAGAGGAGCUGCUGAGAAGUUGCGCUUAUUUUUUUCGUGAAUACGCAGGAGAGCUGCGUAUCUUUGUAUUAAGAAGAAAAAUGUUUACAACGCGAGCCUAUCCGGACGCACGCACACGGUUUUCGUUCAUCGUUUAGGUUACAUUAUUACGCAAAAGAUGCAAAAAGGGAGCAUUGAUGACAAAAAUCAGAGUUGGAGAUCCGGAGCUCCUGUCGGUGCCGGCCAGCCUACUGCCGCUAAAUGUUUGGUCCUGGAGGCGCACUCAAGCUUCUCUGCUUCAAGCUGUGGCCCGUACACAGUGGUGAGACUCCAUUGAUCAUCUGACGUGCCCAGGGCGAUGUUCACGGUGAUGGAAAACCGGCCAGUGUGAACGGUGUAGCAUGAAACCUCAGGGCCUCUACACGCGACGAGGAUGCCACCACUUGCACCCGUAGACGGGAGCUGCGCGAAGCUUGUGAAACGCUGGCCAAGCAUCUCGCAGACAAGAAAACGCGAGAGGUCUUGCAGCUUGGUCUCUUGGAGACACUCCACUGUUAUGUUUGCGUCUCCUACCAUCGUUCGCAGUGCGUCUCUACGGCAGCGAGCAUUCAACCCGCGAACGUUCCAAACCAAAAUGUUUUCGAUUAGGCUGGUCCAUGGAGGAUUACAACAGAGAGGGAGCAAACGGGCUCGGUCACGCAGUGAGGGCGGCUGACGCCUGAGCGGUGAGCUGUAAGAAGUUGCGCUUAUAUGCAUAAAUUUCAGACACCUUGUGUUCUGAAUUCCUGAUGCAGUAUGAUAUGCAGAUAAGAAUAUUCAGACAUUCAGUCGCAGACCGGGAUGCGUAUGUAUAUAUCACAAGUUGAUUUAGAAAACAAAAUGGUAGUAUAUUCAUGAUGAAAACAAUCCCUGUUGACUCAUAGGUUGAACAAGGAAAUACAUAAUUGAGACUUGAUAGGCAUAUAAAUGGUGAGCAAUCUGACAAAUGUUAAGUAGAAGACAGAUAUGUAAAAGCGAGAGCAAAACUUUGCUGUACUCUAAAUUGUGUGCCAGAAUUCAAUAUCCUUGGAAUUAUUUGGAGGGCAAAAAUAUCCCGGAGACUAUCAUGUUGAUUCAAACUUCGUGUAAAUUAAUGCACGUGUCCUUUCUAGAUGGAACUUCAAGUACUGCCAGGUCCAUGCUCAGUGAUACUGUAUAUACUAGCAUCAUGUAGUGUCAGAUAUUGACUUAACAUAAGAGGAACUGCAUCAGAUAUUCAGAAUAAUCAUGGUUUAUCAAAUGAGUUUACUGACAGUGGGUGAUUUGCUACAACAUUUAAAUUAAUCAAAUGCAACUGUUGAAAUAGAUCUGUUCGGUAACUCUAUUUUUGUGACUCAUAGUUGCCCUGAAAACUAGUGUUAUUUUCCAUUUUGAGAUUAAGCCACAUAUAGAUGUUGUUAGGUUGUGGGGGCAUACAUUACAUAUUGAUGUAGCAAGAUUGCAGUUUGGUCAGAUGGUGUUCCCACUAUGUAUUCAUAAUACCUUGAUCCUAUCCUACUUUGAUCGUAGCUUGAUCUAGCAGAAGAUGAAUAGAUGAUCUACAGUUUCUUCAGAGUGUCUGUUACUUGUAAUUUCAAAAUGAUGAAACAUGCCAUUAUCCUGGAUCCAAAUGCCUUAAAGAAACUACUGCAGUUAUUAAUUCGGUACUACAAAAUUACAAAGGUAACAUCGUAGACGCAACUCUUGCAGAAACGAAUUGGCCAAGAAUUAAUAACGCUGGAAGCUAGGAACAUGCAUCGAGAUCAAUUGUCCUCUACAUGCAGAUGCAAGGCUUCUUCACCUGAAAACCCUACCUGCUGUUCCAUCAAGGAGCAAAUUAAAAGCUGCGUAUCAAUUGGUAGGAUAGAAUUUACAUGUAUGCGUGAAUCCUUGGCUUUAGCUUGAACUUACCGUCGUUGGUGUAGAUCUCGCUGCGUGGAAGAAGAUACACGUUGCCUAACUCUAGGGUUUCAGCACAAGUAUAGGUGUGUGCUGCCACAAGAGAAUGAAACUGCUAGAUGAUCUGGUCGCCUCGCCUAUUUCCCGUGUUGUCCUUGCCCAGACAUGAUCACGAAGAACGCGUCCGCUUUCAGAUCAUGCUGGCAGCUUCAUCUUCUUGUGCUGCACAGACUAAACUGACUGAAGCACACCUCACCGUGCCCCUCUCACCUCCCGGCCAUACUUAGGGGGGGGGGGGGGGGGAGAGAGAGAGAGAGAGAGAGAGAGAGAGAGAUUAGCAAUUAGCAUUGGCGUGCGGCUUGAUGGUGUGGGGGCUGUUGGAGAUUAUGUAGGACUUUUUAUGGAGUCCUUUUCGGUGUAAUCUUUUGUUUGUUUGUACUAUCUCCAAAAGCUGAUGCGCAGGGGAAGAAGAAUAAUGCAAAGGCGAGGGGAGAGAUGAGUGCAGUACGUGGUCCCGAUGGACAAGGAAGAUGCAAGGAAAGUAGAACUUGGCAUGCCUGAGCUUUUCUUCCCUUUGAUUAACCAAUGCAAGCUAUGCUAUGGUGGGGCUCCCGAAAAGACAAGCCUGCACUGCACUUGAGGAGGCCCUUUCGAGCAUGCAUCUCCAUACCUAAAUGUGGAGCUCAUUCUGCUUAGCUCUUUAGGCGUGAAGUUCGCGUGCGCCCGAGGUACGCGUGUCGCUCUUCCCAGCGGCUACCAUCACUCCGUCCAUCGAACGCGUCGACUUGUGUUGUGCUUCGAUUGGCAGGGGCUCAAAGCAUGUCCAGCAUGGAUAAGAUUUCAUUUUCGAAAAUAACGUUGAAUGAACUAGGGAUAGCUAAGAGAAUCAACGGUCGGAUGAAAAGUGUGGUAAAAGCUCUGUAAUUUAGACUAACAAAUUUAAAUAUCGUGCUUAAUAAUGAUCGGGUCAUAUACUAUACGAUUUUGAGCUAAAAAUAGAUAGGGUUGAGUUGGAUGGUAAAGAAAGCACGAGGGUCAUGAUCCAUUACCACUAAGUUGAGAUAACACUUAGUCAUGAGACAGCGGUGGAAAACUAGUCUUCUUCCUCCUCUUCAUCUAUACAUGGCCCCAUGUUAGAUAUGCCCCUGUAUUCACAUAAACGGUAUCAUAAGAGCUCCUAUGUGUAGCUUCUGGUAGCUGGUUAAGGAAGGAGUUGCUAUGCCUAUAUACCUUAUGAUCUAUGAAUGUUGGUUGAAGUACGUAAUUUUAAGACAUAAGAUGAUCAAAACAAGCUCUAAACACGGUCCAGUAAAAAUAAGGGUGGUAGAUUUAACAUUUUUAAACUAGAUUCAACGUUUUCUCAAACCUAAAUCAAGUGGUCUAGUUCAAUACUUUAUCGUAAUAUUACAAUAAAAAUAUUAAAGUAGUAUAUUUAAAAUAUUGUAGGGCACUGAAAAUGUUGAUACCACGUUCUCUCCCCCACCAUAAAUAUAUCAUUGCACUGCAGCUAAUGCAAGCGCCGAUCAUCAUGUUUUUCUCUCUGUUUUUUUAGGGGAAUCAUCAUGUCUAAGCCCGAUCGAGUCGCUUUCGCCUGCCGGUACCACACGUGGGCCGUUAACAGUGUGUAAUCCAGCUUGCGCCGAGCGCCACGGCCCAGUCCACCCGGACCAGGCCGUGCCGUGCUGUGGGCCACAAGGAGACUACAGCCCUAUGUAAUCGAACGGCUCGAUAAGCCGACGACAGCCCACAGAAGAAACUCCUCACGUCGCACGGCCCAAUAAGCCGACGACAGAAACAUCUUGGUCCCUUUGCCUAGCCUGCGUCAUCGGGGUGGGGCGACCCGGCGGCUCUUUUGGAACCAACCAACCGUUCGGCAGAGGCGUCCGUUGGGGUGCUCCACGCGCAAUCCCUGCCUUCAUGACGCCGGCGCCGGCUAUCAGCUACGGACACCGACGGAUUGCAGAGAACAGGACGAGCUCACGAGCACCAACAAAGUCACUAACUUACAAACCCAAACCAGAGAUCACCACCGAUGCAUGAAGAGUUCUAGACAGAUGCAACGAGAGCUAAAAGAAUGCAACUAAUGAUCACAAUUAAGAAUCGUGGCUCAUAUAUGCACUACUACAACCAAGGAUCCGGCGACUCCGAAAUACUACGCCGCCGGCCAUCCAUCGCUACAAGCCUACAGCACGGCACUGUACGUACAGUGUGCAAGAACACUGCCACAGCAAUGGAGCUGCCACUAACGUUGGCUCUCGACGAAUCGGAGGGUCAAUUUGAUUCACGAACUACGGCCACGACGCGAGCGCCACCCGCCGCCUCUGCCUACUUCGCGGUGCUAUUGCUCAUGGAGCUAAUCCUCUGCGCCAGCGCGUCCACGUACCGGCCCGGCGGCCGUUGCCUCCUCUCCAUAUCUGUCGGCACGAGCGGCACCGCCGUCCAGGCAUGCCCGCCCCUCAUCCCUUCGCUCAGCAGCUCCUCCCAGAAGUCGUCGGUCAGCUCCGCUGCCAAGCCGCCCUGGGCCUCCUUCUCGUCCUGCUUCCGCUUCCCGAGGCCCUGGAUGUUGAGCGCCAGGUUCUCCAGCUCCGAGGUCCCCGGCUCGCCGCUCCCCAGCACCUCGAACCCGCCCGGCCGGAACAGCAGCUCGUCCUGAUGACGCGGGCACCCACUGGCCUCGCCACCGGCGAGCGACGGCGCGGCGUCGAUGGGCCGCCGCCGCUUCCUCGAGACGGCGUCCUCGAGCUCCUUCCUCCGGUCCUGGUGCUGGAGCAGCUGCUGGAAGAAGUCCGGGCUCUGCAUCGCCCGCGCCAGGAACCCCAUCAUCUGCACCUGCUUGUGCUCCGCGUGCUGCAGCCGCGCCUCCAUGGCCGCCAUGUCCGCCCGCGUGCUCUGCUGCUCCUGCCGCAGCUUCACCACCUCCGCCAGCAGGAUGUUCUUGUCGCGCUUGAGCCGGUCGAUCUCCUCGUCCAGGCCGCCGAACUGGCCCACCUCCAGGCAUGUCCCCAGCUGGGCCGCCUGCUGCUGCUGCUGCUGCUGUGAUCCGGGGAGGUAGGACGGCGGCCGCCGCCGCUUGAUCAGCCUCAGGAGCUGCCUCUGCCCCCUCAGGAAACCUUCGUUCGCGAACUCCCAUCUGUCCGGAUCGAUCUUUCUGAAACCCUGCAGUGAUCGCAAGACAACGAACAGAGCAAUAUAUAGUUAGUUCAAAGUUGUCCAGAAAAAAAGCGCAGAUGGAGGUGAAAGGUGAACGAAGAAGGCAGAUUAUCUGUAUGUUUCACAAAGUAUGUAAAACUGUAGGUUUCACAUAGUUUCUUUCUUGUAGCGUCAUCCGAUGUCUUGAUCCAUCUAGCUACGCAGUAACAAGUUGAACAAAGAACGUGUCAGAAAUUUAACAGCUUGCCAUGGAGAUGCAUGCAGGUUCUGCCAUCUCCCGUCAUCAUCCUGUGCGUCUGAAUCAUUCUUUUCGGUUUUAUACGCCACAUUUGUCACUACAAAAUUACGGAUAUUGGCAAACGAUUCCAUCAGUUCAACUAGAAAUCCAGAUUGUGCAGAAAAUUCAUCUAACGUCACCACCAUUUCAAAAAAAAAAUUACAUCACCAGGAAAUGUGAUCUUGCUCAGGAAAUUCAUACUGUAUAUUGACACAGAUCGCAAUGUUUAGUAGUAGACUCGACUCGAUUGAUCACUCAUGCUACUGCACUCCACAAUGCAAGGAACUUACUGCAAAAAACAUCACCUCACAAGCACAAAUGCACACUACUCGAGAGCAAGUGAACACACCCAAGAGAAACUAAAUUGGCAAGCCAGGACAGGAGACUCACAUAGGUGUUGAGCUGGCGGACGAAGCUGGAGAAGUUGUUGUGCUUGAAGAACCUGGGGAGCAGCACGGCGGCGAACACGUGAGGAUCCCACACGACGAAGCUGUUGCCGGCGCGCCCCCACGAGACGACCUGGUCGGUGGCCGGGUCCGCCACCAGGUCGAACGUCUUGGUCAGGAACGGCGGCGGCCCAACCUCGUGCAGCCCCUCCAUCGGCCGCGGCGCCCCCUCCGCGUCCAUGUCCUCCACCUCCUCCUCCGGCGGCGGUGAGCCCGGCGGCCACUCCUCCUUCACCGUCACCAUCCCCGGCAGCAGUGGGUGGUCCAUCGUGCCACCGCCACCCACCAACCAACCCAGACGCCGAGCCUUUUCUGCCCCCGGAUGAGCCGCAGCCAAGCAACGAUCCCCAGGCGAAUUCCGCUGCGAUCGUCGAAUCCAGCGCUGGCGAUCCCGAGAACCAAGAAUUAACAGUCGUCGCUCGUGCUACAGUGCUCUGAGCCACUCGUGGCGUGGCGUGGCGUGGCGCGGCGCGCACGGGAAGAGAAGGCCUCUGUGCUACGAGAGUGGCGGUGCGGCGGCGAUAAAUACCAGCUUGACCUUUGUACGCGACUGGUCAGGAGGGGAAUGGAACGUUCUAGACCGCGGGGCGCGUUCGUGGCGGGGUGGAGCUCGGAAGGUUCUGGACGUCGCGGGGUGUAGCUGAGGUUGGCGCGCCCGGCGCAAGUGGCGAGAUCCACCUCCCCAGAAUCGACCGCCGACAGGAGGACGACGACGGCGACAACUCGUGGCCAUUUUUCCUGAUCGCCUCGCCUGUAGGCACUGCGCGUGAUUGGCUGCCGAGCUCGUGAUUGGCUGCAACUUGCCGCGCCGAUCCGCCGGCGAGAUACGCCGCGUUCGCCGCGAAAGGGACGUCCCUUUUUUCUUCUCCGAGUUUUUUUUUUCUUCCCCCACAAACUUUUGAGAUCUUUUUGGCCUCGCGAAAAGUGUUCCUCAUCACUCUACUCACAUGUCAGUUGUCGCCACUACGAAAUGUAUCUGAAGAUGUUUGGUAGUACGUACCUGUGAGCAGCAAUCAUGAUCAGUUGAUCAUCUCAUGAUCCAUUCUCCUAGUUUUUAGUCGAAAAAUUUGGCAUGCUCAGGAAAUUUGAAGAUUUUGUGUGGCAAUGUAGUCGCACACAUAAGUAAUUCACCGGCAUCACAAGUGUUCUUCGCAGGUGAUCAUCUCUGCCGACCAAUGCUCGCAAAGCGACUAGACGGCAGCCGUAAAACGUGUUCAUCUUCAUGAGCACACACUUUCUCGGCUGGAAGAGACCUAGGACGAACCUGGUAAUCAUUCCAGGAGCCAGCCAGUUCCAUCACUCAUUUCACUCUGCGCGAACUUUUCGUUAAUCAGCAGUAGGACUGUACUGUGACUACAUCAUUACGAAGAUCUGGUCGUGCUACUCUGAGAAGGACUUGAGUUACUCCUCUUGACCGGGUGCAGACAAAAAAAUGUUGGACAGCAAAGCAAUUGAACCACGCCAGUCAAUCAGGCUGAGAGUUGGUAUGAGGAACUUUCAAGCAUCCCUUUCGGCAAGCCAAUUAUUGCGCGCAAGCUUUUCACAGAUUUGAGACGAGCAGAGGGUUUGAAUCUUCAUCAUUCAUCAAAGACCACAUCAUUCAUACCAUUUUACAAAAUAUCUACGAAAGAUUUGAAGCAGGUUUUGUGCAAACUACUGAAUGGCACACGAGCAUGAUUGUGGUAUGAGCAGAUUGCGGUAGCACAUCUUAUUCGGCAACACUUGUAAGGUGUAGCACAACAAGCAGACUCGAUAGCAAACAUGCCGAUAUGCUAGUGCACAUUCAACGAGCUUCAACAGCUUGGUUUCCACCUCGGUUGAUGAUUCUAUCGACAUACUCCUUCCUGAAAUCAUGAGAAAGUUUCAUUAAGUCAAAGCGAACAGAGGAUAAAGUGGGCGAUGAAAGGGGAAACGAGAAUCCAAGAAAGAACGUAUGGAACAUAAUAAUGCUGAAUUUUCAGAGUUCAGACAUAGGUACCUAGCCGGGAGAUGGUCAUGGGGGCGAUUGUAUGGCGUCCAAACAGGCUCUCCAACAAAGAGACGCAUUGCCUGCACAAGCCACAAACAUAAUAAGAAAAAUCCCAUUCAACACCUUGAUUCACUAAUGUUCGUUAUUCUAUAUAGCUUAUUAUGGAAGAUUUAAGAUGUGAUCAGGAAAUUUGCAGGAGUGGCAUAACACAUAAUUCAUAUCAUAAACAAGAAAAUUGUCCCUCUGGAAUUACAUAGGCGUUUUCUUCCACUUAAAAUAAUUGUAGCCUAGUGAAUACUUCAAGAGUGAAUAACAUAUAUAGCUACAUGCAGAAACAUCAUUGUUUAAUCAAUUUAGACAACACCAGAUUAAGAAGACAAAAAGCCGUAGUGGGAACAGGGAAACAAGUCAAAGAUACCUUGAUGUAGUUGUCCGUAUCCAAUGUAAAGCGGUGAUACAUUCCUGCAGGCAGAACAAUCAUGCCUCCUUUCUUCACUGCUAUGCGGAUCCACUGAUCAUUUUGGUCCCUCACGUCAAAGUAGCCUUUAAAACACAUAAGAGAAGCAGUUGUGUAUGUAAAUUAGAUAAAAAGGAAAUAUCUUGAUUGUUACUGCUCUAAAUGCAAACAAAAGGCACCUACCGCUACCCUCAAGACAAUAGCGUAUCUCUUCAUCAGUAUGCAAGUGUUCUUCAAAGAAAUUCUUUAUCUUAGCCUCAUAGUUUGGCAACUUCUCUGGACACACAUCACAAAUGUCCUGCAUAAGGAAAAUGUUUAUCAUACUAGUUUGAAUAGGAAUUGACCUUGCCACUCUAGAUAGAAUCUAACGAAAUAAGUAGCCAGAGAAAAACUUAUUGGCGAACCACGUAAGAGUAACCCCUGGCUUCACGAAUUUGCUUGAGGUUUUCAUCAUUCUCCCAGUCAUCAGCAUUUAGACGCCAGCUUAAUAUUCCUAGCUCUGGGGGUCCAAGAUGGUAACAUUUCAGCAUCAGUAAGUCUAUCAAUAUGUCAUAUGGAUUCAAGAUUAGAGCAGGACAUGCACAAACCUGAGAGUUUGUCAAGAGGGAUGAACUCUUUGGGCUCACGAUGAUGUGGAAGCCUCUGGUCCUCUUCACUCUCAUCCAUGUACCAAGCUUGGAUGACCUCCUCCUUGCCAUCCUAUGUUGAUAAUAACCAUUAAAACAAGAUCACAUAGUUAGGAUGCAUUCUGACAAGCACAAGCAUGUUCGGAGAAAGGAACCAUGACCUAGAUUACCCAAUCGCCAUGUUACAAAAUAUAUGAAUCAUAAUUCAUAACCAGUGCAGAAUUGUGACUUGUGUAUAUAAGCAAAUAUGAGGCUUUGGCAAGCUUAAUGCAAUUAUGAAUUAACCAAACACCUAAUGCAGUUCAUACUGUGUGCUAAGACUCGUAUGGUGUCUAACAUUCUCAGGAGUUUAAAGAAUAUAUUGAACUGUGCAUGUUGCAUUGCUCAAGACUAAAAAUUUACAGUGUUCAACCAAGGCAGGUCCUUAGGACCAUAAGCUCUUAGGAUUAAUAUCAGUGAUUAAUUUCUACGAUCUGUACUAACUUAUUCUGCAUCGGACUCAACAACAAGUUGUGCAACAAGUAGAAGUAAAAACUAAAAAGAGCCAUGAUGUAGCAAUAUCCAAUCACCGUACUAUCUUUCUGGCUUUGUGUUUGCACCAUAAUUCAAAUCAAUGCAGAAAUAGAUGAAUUAUAAAAGAAAAAUAUGAUAUGCACCAUAGUGACAACACGAACUAACCAUCAUCAAUGCACGGUACCACAGGUACUCUACUAAUUUAACUUAACAGUCGCUGUAUGCUAAAACCCAAAUGGUCAUCUCAUAUUCUCACAGGUUCAAGAAAGGCCCCACUAAAACUUAUUGCUCAAGAGGUGAGGUCAGAGGACAUUAAGCUUUUAGGAUUGAUGUCCAUUAUUUAUGGUUAUGAUCUUGACAAACCUAGUACGAAUUGGACCCAGCAAAUGUAGUUCUACAACUGGAUGCAAAAAGGAAAAAAAAUAGAACCAGCACCCAGCUACUACUUUUAAGUUAUACUAUAAGACUUGAGGGGCCAACAACACACUUGAGGGGGCUCUUUACUCUACCGAAGAAAUGGGAGAUGCUACUGAAGUACCUGAAAUAGGACUUGUGUCGGUAUGAUGAUGACAGUGCAAAGCUUUGUCUGGUGGACAAAUUACAACUUGUCACGAUCUUAAUUACUCCAACCGUUUAAUUUACUAGGAUACUACUGCAACUUCUAUAUAUUAAAGUUUAGGGUUGCUUUACGAUUACUCAGACAGUCAGACUGUGUGACCAUCGUGUCCAGGCUAAUCUUAUUCCAAGAUCCCACUUUAGCAUGCCUCAAAGCCCUAAUCAGCGAAGAAGUUAACCGAAAUGGAUAUAUCAAAUCCAAACCUAAUUUCACAUGGAUAGUCUCUCCAUCCCCAACUCUAUAGAAAGUUAGAAACCACCUCGAAUAAUUUGGGAGGAAUUCCAAGUCCCAUCUAUCCGGGCUUCGAUUAAAACAGGCGUAUUUCUGCUAUUAACAACCAAAUCACGAACCGGGGCAAUCGAAUCGACAAAAACCCUGAGGAAACAUGAGCGGAACAGAAUAUAUAUUUCCUGACGCCAAAUUCAUCAACGUCUCAGUUCAGGAACAAGAACGUGGAAAAGGAUUCGAACAGAGAGCUCGCGGUACCUGGAACUGGUCCUCCAUAUCGGCAGUUUGUGUGCGGUAUCGCUUGCUCUUUGCCUGCCUUCGUCUUUCUCGAAUCCUCCCGAAAGCCUGGAAUCUGAAACAAGGGGCCUGCGUUUCUUAUGAACUGCUUGGACUGAACGCAAAUCGGCACUUUUGUAGAUUGCCCCCCGCAGUUCUUCAGUUUAGAUAGAUCCACCUUUUAAUUUACAACAGUAGCUUGUCUUCAGCUUUGAAAUGAGGAUUCGGUACAUGUUGAAUCUUGCAGAAAUUUGUGGUAAUAUAUUUGGAUCCGUAAUAUAUUUAUAUUUACUUAUGUUAUUUGAUUAGAAACACAUUCGACUUCUAGUUUCUUUACGUACGUUUAGACUAUGGCCUAAGUCGUCAAUAUUGUCAAUUUGUCAUGGCGGCAUCAAGGUAUGAAAUUCCCCGACUCCUACAAUAAGUUUUCACUUGAAAUUUUUAUUGAUUUCUAUUGCUACACGCUCCCAAAUGGUCCAUCACUGCAAAUUCGAGUAAAAUGGUUCUGAGAGGGUACGGUUGCAAUUGUUGUUGUAUCAAGGGCUGUGACAGAAAUGUGUCUAAUUCUAAUUAGCAGCAUGAACCAUGAUGGCACAAAAAAUACCAUGACGAUGUGCUGGCAACAUUGUCGCGUUGAACACGUAAAGACAAAAGUUUUCUAACAUUGAACAAAGAAGAUAAGGCCAAGGGCAGUCAGACCAUAGAAAAGACAAAAACGGGUGCAGGUGUGCUCGCCUGAUGGCCGCAUGAAAUCCGCUGCGCCUCUCUCCGGACGGUCACGAGUCAUCAUGAUUCACGAAGUCGUGCGAUGCCUUCCCGGCGGCGUUCGGUUCCAGUUUAUUUAUAUUUAUUUUUAGUACUGAAUGUUUAGAUACUAAUUAGAAAUAUUAAACAUAGAUUAGUUACAAAACUUAUUAAUUAGAAGUAUUAAAUGUAAACUAUUUGCAAAAAUCCAUUACACAGAUGGAGGCUAAACGGCGAGAUGAAUCUGUUAAGCCUAAUUAACCCAUCGUUAGCAAAUAGUUAAUGUAGCAGCACAUUGUUAAACUUAAUUAGUUCAUGAUUUGACAAUGUGCUGCUACAGUAACCAUUGUGUUAAUGAUGAUUAAUUAGGCUUAACAGAUUCGUCUCGCCGUUUAGCCUCCAUUUGUGCAAUUAAUUUUAUAAUUAACUCAUAUUUAGUCAUCCUAAUUAACUUUCAAAUAUUCAAUGUGUUCAAUGUGAUAAGGAUUAAAUUUUAGCUUGAGCAAUCAAACCUCGCCGUAAACGGCUAAACGCAAUACACAAUGGCUCGCUGCCAUAAGGUCCAAAUGUUUCCUCCAGAAGAGUUAAAAAUUCUUAACUUAUGUUUUGAUAGGUUUUAGUAGAUUUGAACUAGCAAUAUUUUUUUUGAGAGGAGUAGAUUUGAACUAGCAAAAUGGGGAAGAGAACGGGGUGUCACGUUCCCUGCCAGAUGAAAAGCCCAAACCUAUGCGGUACCGCAGGCUUUUAAUGGGCCUUUCUGUAGAAGGCCUGCUACUGGUCCUCUGCAAGGGCCUCCUGCGACGUCGCGCGGCCCAUGCUGCUACUAGGCCCAAAUAAAGUUUUGGCCCCAAGUGUUUCUUUGUUCCAGAAUCAACCAGUUGUGUUUUUCUUUUGAGGAAAUCAGUCAGUUGUGGUUGAUUGCUGGCUUUAGCUGCUGCUACUAUUUUUUUUUCCAGCAGAGAACAGGGAAAAAAACGACGGACGAGAACAUUCAUCUCAAGGAGAUCCGAUGCCAAUCCCUGAUAACCCCUGCUCGAAAUUUUUUCUUCUUGCCAAGUCAGGCUACCUGCGCUUCACGGUUCAGGCGCCCUUGUUCUUUCCGGAAUCGGCUCAUCGACACGCAUGACAACUGGCUACGCGUGCGUGCCCGAUCCGUGAAUGGAAUGGAACGCAGGGCACAGCAGCCGCUGCGCGCUGAACGCGGCAACCCUUCGCUCGCAGUCCCCGCAUGCCGCAGAGACUCAAGCUGGGCCGCCAUGGCUGCCUGCCUCUCUGUGGCCGCAGACAUGCAGGCCGCAGCUGCAGCCGCGACGUCAUGUCUCUCGCGAUAUUCACCGCUGGCUAGCUGACAGCCACCCUUACUUACACGAGGACGGCAAGCGACGCCGACGUGCGUCGCCGAAGCUGCCAGCGCCCAGUUCGGGAACGGGCACGCCAGGUACAGGCAGGCGCACCCUCGCCGCGGGUCUCCUGGUCGCCGCACGGCACCGGCAGGGCGCGCGUGCGUGACCAGUCCCCGUCGUCGAAGCGAUGUGUUCCGUCUCGAGCUCUCGAUGCGUGCCUGCGAGCCUGGGACUGUGCCAUGCGUAUCUGCUUCCCAGAGGACGUGCAGGCGGCGGUUCACUACUGCCGCUGUCCGCUGACAAGGUGAUCUCCGAUAAGAUCUCGUGCGCGCUACCUGUAAAGCAGGCCGGCCAGUGCAGUGCAUCGUUGUGAAUGUGAUGAGCAGCUGAAGACACAAUAAUUACUGUUGCGAGGAAACCAAGAUUGAUGAGUAAAGAAAUCAAUCUCAUCGUGAAUUAAUUAAUUAAUUAAAGAAGAAGAAGAAGAAAGGCCGGACGGUGUAUGUGUAUUGCACGUAGCCACGUAGGCCCUCCCGGGUCCUGGACCUUUUGUACGCACGGACAUUCUCGCCAUGUUCACGAACAGUGCGCGCGGUACGUGCACGUGCUUGCCUGCUUGGGACGACACGGACACGCGCCACGCGCACACGCAAGUAGUGAUGUGGCGCAGGCAAUGGCAUGCGUGCGUGCACAUUGAUUUGCAUGUGUUCGUAUAAAGCUUUGUUGCAUCGCCGAUAGCCUCAUGAAUUCGAGCCACUCCGAGCUGAGUAGCCAGCAUGCACGCAGCGCCCGUGCGUCAGGACUCGAUCAGGAUUCAAGGACCCUUGCCCUUCUUGUUUCAUCCUCGGCGCCGGGCCGCCGGCGGUGUGGACCAUCGGGGCUCUGGCCGGACCUGCAUCAGGCAAAGAAGAGGAAAUUAAGGAACGCACGGCCACGGCAGGCCGUGGGGGUGGUUGCAGGUCAGUAAUUGUAGCAGCUGGGAUCGGAGGCUCGCGUGCAUUCAUUGGUUGGACGAAGCGGCAGCAAGAUGGAGGGGUAGAAGGGUGAGGCUGUAGUACUGGCAUGUCAAGCCGGCGAUGAUGAUGCCACCGGAAUACUCCAACAGUGUCCACGAUCUGGUACGUGUUGGCCCUUUGGCUGGGGAGAAGAGAGAAGACUGGUCAAGAUCGAUCGACGAUUCGAUGGAGGUGGAUGCUUCGCGACUUGACCCUGGCGAUGGAUUCGAGUCCCAGCGUGGCGUGUCCGAGUCGAUGUAUGCUACAGCCAUGCACGCGAGCAGGCUGUGAGAUCGAGUGAACAAGAGCUUGGUAAUGGUAGCCGCGCGUGGAGUGCAGAGUAUACGUACUAGCACGAACAGUGUCCACCACUAUACGUGCGGCCGGCCAAACCCAAACGCCAAACUUAUACCGUCGCGUCAUCUCAAACAUUGCGGCAUGUACGUGCGCGCGUACGACGCACGUGCCCUCGCGCACUGUGCGCUGUGUUCCGUACGUGUAUGUAUAUGUAGGCAGGUCGUAGCCUCUCGUAGCUGCCGUAUACUUUUGCAGAACUAUGCACGUCGUACGUAGCAGCUGCAGCUCAUCAUGAUGUUUUUGCCGUGCAUACGACGACGACGACGAGCUCACCAGUCCACCAAAACCAAGCGAGCAUGAGUGCAUGAAUAUGGGUCCUGGCCGGCGAUGUUUUUUGCGUGGUUCCAAAUAGGUUUUCCACUGUGUGUGGGCGUGGCAAAAACCAGUGCUAAUCGUUGUACCCCUCGUGCUCCCUGCACUGUUGCGCUGAGUUGAUGCGUGAGCCACACAUACAGCAGACCUAGCUACCACUCGCCCAAAAUCGGGCCAUGAACUUGUCACCUCCGACGAAAGGCGCCCAUGACUCUACUCGUGGAACCCGAGCCAUCCAUGAAUCCAUGAUCCAUCCGUCCCCCGACCGACGCGCUCGAUCAACCCGCCGCCAUGUUGAUUGGCGCGCGCCCGGGACGGGAGCGUGCGACACCGCGCGACUCGAGUCCCCGAGUCCGUCCAUUGGGCGGCGGUGCACCGAGCACGGUUGCACAAGGUCCAUGAGUCCACUGGUUGGCGAGCGGAGGAGAGGGCCCACGGCGCGGCAGGGGCACAGGAUGCCGCGCCCCUCGUGCGUCCCAUGCCGAAGUGACAGAAACGACCCGGGCAGGCACAUGGAAGGCCCACGUGUCGGGGACGUUCCACGCUCGCGCGCAGAGCAGCUGGUGGGUGUGGUCCCCCCUGGGCGGGCAGGCCUUGCUGGUGGUGGACCCGCUUGCGACCGCACGCUCGGCCCGGUCAAGACCGUUCCAGGGCCCCUAUUCGCACUGGGCCGGGAGCCUUCUUACCCCCUGCUGCACAUCCGUAGACCCGGUCCACGAGCCUCUCUCUCGUUCGAGAAUGGUCAACCACGGUCAAGCACCAAGCUCUCGCUUCCCAGCUGCAGUGGCCUGUGUGGGAGUGCCGCACGUGGGCCUGGCCCGCGGGUAGGCUCUCUGGUGGGGCCGGGGAGUGUUGAGAGAUUGGCGGUGUGGCUCCCACGCCGUUCACCGUUGACCGGUCCACUGCACGCCCGUUGGACCGGGCCCACCGUACAGUAGGUAGGCUGGCUGGCUCUCCGCUCCGGUGCGCGAGCACUCCAUUUUUUUUCCCCGUCCCAGGCUCCCAGCCGCCCAGGUGGCCAGGUCCCAGCGCUGCGCGGAUGAGCCUCCUCUGAGAGGAGCUUGUCCCACUGACAUGCAGGUCCGAUUGUGAUUUCGGCCAAAAACGUCAGUGAGAGGUAGCUGCGCUGGGCCACGGCAGCGUGCGUGCAGCACCCGAACAAAAAAAUCACAGACUGAAAAAGUGAAGGGAACGGACAGGUAUGGCGCGCACCAGCUGCUUCCAUACCCGUCUCACGUGACCACGGCCGGAAGGAGAGAGAAGCCACGCAGCUACCGUAGCUUCUGGCGUAGUGGCACGCACGUACAGCGAGUCUCGUCGUCCAUCACACCAAAGCCACGGCCCAGCCACUCUCGAUCGUUCCAUGCAUUGGCGGGGUCCAUGCGCCAGUACGUGGGUGCGUCUACAUGCAGGCGCGGGUCCCAGAGUCAGCCUCGUCCCACGUCGUAGGAGUACUAUUUCUAAUGAAGCCUACCACUGGGCUAGCUGCUAGAGCCCUAGCCCUACUGCUCGCCAUGCAUCAUGCAUGGCUCACUGGCCCCUCCGGUGCACGUCCAGCCGGCUCUCGUACGUGCAGCUGGCCGGGUGGGGAGGGCGGGAUCUUCCAACGUGUGGGAUCGGUGGCCGCGGGUCGCUUGACCCUUUUCUGGCCCGAUGCAAUAGCUGAGCUAAGAGCUAGGCCGAUCGAUCCAUGCAUGUGCCGCUGUUUCAUUUGAUCCAGCGACAUGCAGGGUUGCUUUGAUCGUUUCGAUGUGACCGAUUGCCCCCGCCCGACGGGAACCCAUUUGCGGGGAUCCAAUAAAUCAUGUUUCAUUCAGGUACGUGCGUACUAGGCCGGGUUAAUUGUGUCGCAUAUGGUAUUUGGGUCGUUACCAAGAUCUCUCCGUGCAAUCUUUCAAAGGCUCUACUAUGUUUAUAGAAAAACUUUUGACCCGAACAGGUUUAGCUGCGUAAGUUUCAUACAAAAUUCCAGCACGUCCAUGCAUAGGACUAUAGGAGUUUAUCAUCUAGUGAAACAAACAAGAUAAAAAGGGCGUGACGGAUAGCUUUCGCCAGAACCAGUCAGUGUUAAACAUUAAGGGUCAAUGGCCUUCUGGGAUUAUCACAGCAGGGUUGUGCUCUGUGUUGUUAAAGAAAGGUGUGUGUGAAGGUGACCGGCUUACAAUGCAGCCUUUUUUUUUCUUCGAGAAAGAUUACAAUGCAGUGCUGCUGUACCAUGAAUGUUGAAUCUGUGCCUGUUGCAAUUCACUACAUUUUUAUUUAUAAGUAAAUUGCACCCUCCAUACAAUAACUUGUUAGCUUGUAAAAUGCUCAAUUUAGUACAAUAACUUGACAUGUAGGUACGGAUUAGUCAACAAGUUGUAAAAUAGCUAAUUUAGUACAAUAACUUUGCAAAUCAGUGCACUUACAGUCCGACAUUACAACAAAAACGUAUUAAGCAAAAUAGGGACCCUAGGACCUCUAUACUUUUGCUUAUGUAUUCAAUAUUUGUAUACAAGCAUGUUUGUCUCUGUCUUUUAGCUUAUUUUCCCUUUAUAAAUAACUACAUGAGGCUUUAAAAAUAUUUAUGCUAAAUUUCUAAAAGGUAUUGUUAGUACAUAUUAAUAUAUUAGUUUUUUAGCUGAGCAAUACGUAAAAUCAAAGAUGUGAACUUAUUAAUACUGAAUAUGGAAUUUAAUAUUCCUAAUCAAAAUUAAAUUAUUGUAUAAAAUAAUUAAUAUGAAGACAUAACAUUAGUUUCCUAAAAAUAUGUUCCUCGUUUUAACAUUUUGACUGCAGAUGCGCUAAGUUAUCAAGUUAUUGCAUUAAAUUGAACAUUUUACAAGUUGUUGGCACACCCACCUAUCAAGUUGAACCAAUCUUGAUAGUUUAUUGUGCUUUUCCGUAGGUGGUCGUGGCGACAGACGUGAUGUCUCAUAUACGCCUUUCGCUUAUGGGGGUAGACCGGGGCACCUGCGAUUAGCUACAAGUCCUAUUUGACCACCACCGAAGCUACUCGUUGCCGGGCUUGUUGGAUCGACGAUCGAACAACCGACCGGCCGGGCAAGCGACGACCCCGCCGUCCUCGCGCGUGUACCCUCUCGGUCGAUCGGCCUCUCACGUCGGCUUCGCCUUUCGUGCUCCAGCGUGCCGGCCUGGCCUUUCCAAGCCGCGCGCGCGCAUUGAUUGGCUCACCUAAAACAUUGCGAUCUGGGCGGAGUUGUUAGGAAAUGUCACGGCCAGUUGAUUUGACGGCUCCCUUCUCGGGGCACGUACGGCGUGCCGCCAGCAUAGGAGUGUAGGACGCCCGCUGCAUCCGAUCGAUCCAGACUGAUCGAUCGUGUGCGCGCGCUCUGCUCUGCGGUGCCAAGUGUGAAAUGUGCACAUCGACGCACGCAGCCUUCCGGUUUUGCGAUUCAGGUUGGCAGUGCCAAGUGUGAAAUGUGCACAUCGACGCACGCAGCCGUCCGGUUAGUAGAUUUUAAAAUGCCUUCCGGUUAGUAGAUUUUAAAAAAAUUGGAUUUUAGAUGGAUUUUCAAAAUCUAGGCAAAAUCUGAAUGGUUUUGUUUGGAUCCCUGAGUUCUGAUUUUAUGGUUGUUUGUUGGAUAGAUGAUUUUUAUGCCCUCGCUACUAUUUGUUGCUCAACUUGGGAGCAUUAAAUAAUUACAUGGAAGGAAGAUGGGCAAAAUGGUAAAUUUCAUGUGCAAAAUCUGAUGGAAGUAACCGUGAGCAACUUCUAGGGUUCUCAAAAUCUAGAAUUUUGGCUUCCCCAAAAGCUGCCCCCGUUUGGAGGCUUCUUAGAUUGUAGCUUCUGAAUUCUGAGAAUCCGCCCAAAUCCGAACAGGGCCUUAGAUCCUAGCUACGUGUAACUUUAGUGAAAAAGAAAUACCUCCCUAGUAAAAUGGCUAGACUCACUAUUUGUAACUUUAAUUUCUUUGUUGCUAUUCUUAUUCCUUUUAUUGAGAUAUAACUCCCUACAUAGUAAUCAUCCCGGAUGGAUCUCACUCGGGAUAGUUUUUAACAAGGCAGUGCGUACCCAUCCGCAGCAGGCUACGACGGCGUUCAGCGGAGGAGUGUUGGAGCGGACUCAUUAGCAAGCUCAACAAGAAAAGAGACACAUGUUCCACCAUAAACAAUCAAUUAAAAAAGGUAGCCGUUUCAUGAAGAACAACAUCUCCCAAGAAUGCACAAGUUAAGAACUGGGGCGGGGGGGGGGGGGGGGGGGGGCCCUUAACCCAAGAACGAAAAAAGCAACGUACAUGAACGAAAAUGCUAGCAAACUCUAACUCGUCGACCAUCAUCUUCAUCCUGUGCUGGUCGUUGCUACAGGCAGCAGAGAAUGUGCUUGAUGAAGACAACCUCCGUGGCUCGUCAGCGCAGCAUGGCGCCUAAAAGAUAUAUGGUUUUGUUUCACUAAAUACCGACCUUAUUUUUCAUGAAUCAGGAAGGUUCGCACCCCUACUGAUUCGGUUGAGCCAGCUGCGGCUCGACUGCAAAUGCAGAUGCAGUAGCCAGCCAGUCAAUAGUCAGUUUUGAGCAACAUUGGUUAGAAUAUAUGAUUUGGGAUUUCUUUUCUUUUUGACAAAAUAUAAUCAGGCUGUGCAGCCGAUCGGUUGUAGUGUUGUAUAGCUACAGCCGUAGCCAAACAGCUACAAGAAGCUAAAGUGAAGGCCGAAAGAAUUAAAGUUACAAAAGGAGUUUAGCUAUUUUACUACGUAGAUGAGGUAUUUCUUCCUCCCUUGAUGGAUAACUAUAGCGAAUUCAUGCCUAAAGGUACUCGUAGCUAAAUUUGGGCUGGGAUGAUGUUGUUGGAAGAUAGGACCAUUUCUUUCUUGCCAAAUGCUCCACAUUCUCUCACUCAUGUCUCUUCUCCACAUUAUAAACAUCGUUCGUGCAUCAUGAGAUAACCUGUAAAAACCAAUAACGUGUGUACUUGCAUAAUCUUAUCUUCGACUGUCUGCAAAGCGCAGGGUCUUGCUGGUAAAAACACGAGACCUGCCGCAUCGUUCUGAAAAAAGCCGGCGGGCGGCCGUCCAUGGAGUCAGAGCACGCACGUACCGAUCAGGCGGUGCACACGGCACGGCAACGCCACCGGCCAGCCAGCACACGCCGUGCCAGGCCCCGGCCCGUCACGAAUCGCGAGGCGGAGCGCCGCGCCGCGCUCGACCCCACCCCGCCCAUCCAGACUGCGAGCCGAAUUGCUGCGCCCCCCUGCCCCCAAGGGCCAGGCGCACGAGGGGGCGCCGAGGGAGCCCUGCCCACCCGCCCGCACGCCGCGACGCCCGAGCGCCACCAAAACCAAAGGAAACCUUCCCCGCAGGGCCCAGGCCAGAGGCCACCACCACCUCCUCCUGCUCCGCCGCUCCGCUCAGCUCGCGCUAGCUGCUCCAAAUAGCAAACGGAGAGGAGCCAUCCCGCCCACCCGCCCGCCGCGCCCCCAGACUACCACCACCCCCAACCGCAGACAGCCUCCCGUCUCUCUCUGAAGUCUGGAUCCCUCGCUCCCUUGCCUCAGCGAGUGCACGCACGGUCCAUGCGUGCGAAUUGACUCGCGCACACACGCCAUUCACUCACUCCAUCGCUCUCUCUUCUUCAUCAUUAGCUCGCUCGGCGCUCAGCUUCUUGUCAGGUACAGUGCCUCGCUUCGUCCCCGAGCCCGGCGCUGCGGGCGCCGCGGCAGCGCCGGCGAGAUCUGGUCCUGGUCGAGCUAUCACGGGCGCGCGCGCGUCCAUGGGCUGGCCGAGCCGCAGCGGCCGGAGCCGGCGUCGGACCCUCUCCGCCGCGCUGCUGCUGGUGGUGCUCCUCCUCCUCAGCUCCUCCGCUCCCGGUACUGUCACUCAUACAGCACAUGCCGAGUCUAUGGCAGUUCACUUGCAUUAUUACCAGCUCACAUGCGUGUCUUUUCUCGCGCUCUGCAGGGACGUGCACGUCGGCGAGGGGGAGAGCCGGUCGGGUGGCGCCGGAGGAGGGGUACUCGUGGGAUCCCGGGACGACGGCGGCGCGGCGGGGGCUGGUGGGGCCCGGGUCGUCGCCGCCGACGUGCCGCAGCCGGUGCGGGGGCUGCCACCCGUGCCGGCCAGUGCACGUGGCCAUCCAGCCCGGCCGGAGCUUCCCUCUCGAGUACUACCCGGAGGCCUGGCGCUGCAAGUGCGGCAACAAGCUCUUCAUGCCCUGACCCACCGCAAGCUGUUCAUGCUGACGCUGACGCUUCGCUCACUCACUGAAGCUAGCUAGACACUCCUCAAGGCAGCAGCUGCGUCGCCAUGGCUGCUGGUGGCUGCACUGCACGCAGGGGGUUAGCCGGCUAGGUGUACUACUACUACUGGUGGAGACUGUGAGACUAUGAGAGACGUGGAAGAGAGCACGGCAAGGAAGAAGCGAUUUGAUUGGAAGAGGAGACGAGGGUGAGGAGAUUUGCCCGAGAAACUAAGCUAGCCAUGGAUGGAGGCUUCGAUUCUAUCAGCUAGGGAUUGAACGAACAUUGCUGGGCUGAGUUCUUGGAGAUUGAUACGAAUGUAAUCCGUUGUAAGUAACCGGUUGUCUGUUGUGUGUACAAAGAGAGAUGCCGAUGUCGCCAUUUUUGUUCUUCUUUUUCUGUCUUUUCGCUUCCUGCUGUUUGUUCCAGACUCCCUUUCGGUUCUGGGGAUUUCCCUGCGAUUAUGAUCUGUGCUGUGAACUUCUUGAUACCCCGGACAUAACGUUGAUCAUCUUGUACUCGUAAAAUUUCCUAAAUUUUGUCACCUCUUUGAUCCGGAUCCUGCCUGGUUUGUUUUCCAAAAAAAAAAAUCUGUUUGCUCUGGAUGGAGGGAUGAUCGGAUGAGACCUGAAACUACUUCCCUUCAGGUUCUUGCCGUGUUCUUGUGGGAGGUGCAUCCAUGCAGUUAGGCAGCACUCAAAUGAACCAUUUUUUUCCUCACUUCAACUUUAUUUCAUCAAAAUUCCCCAUCGAAUGAACAACCUAAAGUUUGGAGCAGAUGCGUGACAGAGUAUUUGGUUUGCAGCACAGAUCGAUUGACGACUUGAGGUAGCAUCUGAGUGCGCAGAAAACCACAGAAAAGCAGCUCGAGCCAACCCCCUCAAAGAAGAGAAUGGAAACAGUGGCUCGGAUAACAGGAGGUUGUAGGCGUACAGUACUGGAACCCAGCUUUUACAGAAGCUAGAAAUAAAGGGGAAGGGAAGCGAGCCUGUGUGCAUAUACAAUGUCAAGGAACAGUGAGCUACGCUGGUCUUUUCCUCCUCUCUGGCAGUGGCACUAAUUUAUGUUACUGCCACUGCUGGUUCUGCUUUACUCACGUCAAAUCAGCAUAAGUUCCCUAGAGAGGCCCUGGCCUGGCCCGAGAGAAAAUGGAGUCAGUAUUCCAGAUGCCAAUGCUUUUGUUUUUGCUGCAUACUGAAUACGCAUUUGUUUACAUGAGCUAGGGUUAUGAUCUGCAGGCCUAGGGCAAGCUAGUUCAAUCAUCGCUGCAUUAUAAUCCUUCCCGUCGCAGGCUAGGCUGCAUUUUGUGUCAUUCAGGCACGCACCAUGAGGCCAGCAGCUGCAGCUUUGCGAAAAUGGUGGCUUUUCUCCUCGCCUUGAACAUCUGGUCAUUCCUCUCGCCUUGGACGCUUCAAAUUUGGAAACAUACAUUAAACAAUUCUUGGGGCUGCGAUCGAAAAGCAGAUAAGAAAAUUUUCUGGGCAUGGUUACUCCUGUGUCAGUGAUUGACACUGAGGCUUGUCCGUGGGCAUUUUUAAAAGCCUACUGUGAAGCUGGCCGGAGAUGGUACAAGAGGUCCUAAAAAGGGUUACAGCUUACGACGCUGAAAAGCUUACAGCUCCCUCAAGUAAUAAUGCGUCACUCUCAUUUCGUAGCUAGGGUACAGCUGCUGCUGGAUGGUGGUAAUUUACUAAAAACUGCUGCUCUUUUACAAAGAUAAGUAAAAAUGAAGAUGCUAUGCUGAGAAGUAAGUAAAGUACAAUACAGUAGGAGAGCAAAAUCUGUGUGCUUGUGCAGUCGGUAAUGCUCCCCUGAAAAAUAGGGUUCUUGGAAGAGCUUCUAUAGCCAGGCCCCAAGUUUUUCUCUCAAAAAGAAAAGGGCGUGGGCACCUUCGCAGUUUGCGCCGGCGCAGCUGCCAAAGCUUCACCUGUUGGCUUUCUAACAGUAUUCUUGGGAGUGAGGUUGCUUGCUCUCACUGCAACACGCUCUCGCGCUGUUGGUGAGUAGUGCAACCACUUCCCUGAUUCCCUCCACGCAGAACCAAGAGGAACAAGAACACGGAGCAGUAACAAUCUGAAGAAACCAAGUGGUGGUGACACAGAAUCGAGCAUCUUUCUUUGUCCAAGAAGGGGAGUGUGAUACAGGCGAGCUUCUGUAGCUUGGAAACAAGGCGAGUGAUCUUCGUGUCUCGGAGCGCAAUGUGCACUGCUGUUUGGAGAACCAUGAUGGCAUGAUGGACAGCAACAACUCAGCUGUUAGCGUUGUCAGUCUCACUGUACAAAUGAGUUCAUAUUGGAUGGAAGCAAACAGUAGGGUUGUGAAUAUGCAGCCUUUUUUGUUGGCAUUGUCAAAUCUUUACUACUGUGUCUAACAUUUUAGCUUGUCGAGUGACCGGAAACAUUAGAAGUUUCUACCUGUACAGAACUGGGAGAGACUGAAAGGCAAUGUUUCAAAAGAUUUGUGAAGCAACUAAGCAAGGCUAUUCUGCACCCUCAUAUAGUCAUAUGCGAAGUUUCAUUAGGAUUUUCUUUUUCCUUACAAUAUAAGCAACAGCUGCUACAGACGCUGAAACUUAGCUGCCUAACUUUUGCUCGCCACUUGCAAUAGCCACUUGUCACUCAGCAUUCAUCCAUGAUCUCCUCUUGAAUUCUGUUCAUCAACACAUAACACAUACUGAAAGAACGCUUCCAGCCCAAUGAUUGUUAUAUAAAGCCACGAAGGCCCAUGGCAGGGAAUCCAUAACAAAUGGGACCCAUGACAGACGAUAAGGCAGGCCUAGUUCUAUUUGGCCCAUAAAUAUCUCUACCCAUGGCCCAUUUGGCAUUUCGCUUCAGGGAACAUCCUUUUUUUUUUUGCGAAAUUCGCUUCAGGGAACAUCGGGAAGGAGAAAUAUUGUAUUUAAAAAAGAAUUUAAAAAUCUUAACAAGAAGUUCCAAGCAAGUAAGUAAUCCUAGCGGAGAUUUUUUUUUUGAAAAAUAACCUUAGUGAAUUUAAAUGCUUAUAAUGCUCUUUUUUUAAUUGUAACAACGAUUUACCUGAGAGGUCGCAGGCUAGGUGAUUAGAGAUUAGUAUCUCAUCAUAAUCUGAUCGAGAUGUUCAGGACCAGGCUAGGUGCAGCAACGCAGGCAUCCCAUAAACAGUAAAGUUACUCGAUUAUUCACAGAAACAUUUAUUCCACAUCCAGAUAAACUGAUCAAGUCUCUAACAUCUACAGUGGAAAUCAACCAUCAAAUGCAAUCCUGCAGCAGUAUAGCACACAUCCCAAAAGUUUAAUCCUAACAAGCUAUCAACUCUAUGCUGUCCCGUGGAUAAAAAUAGUCUAGGGCUACCGUGCGAUGCUCCAUCGUCCAUCUAUAUCACCUGACUCACGGCCAGUGAGACUAUCAGCAGCAGCGGCAUUAAAAUUCGCUGUGAAAUGGAUCCUGCAUAGUUAUAGGCAACGCCAGUAGAUCAGUUGUCUGAAUCUAUGCAUGAAAACACACAUGCAUACACUCAUUGACAUCUGAAAAGAAUUUUGUACCUGGCGCUGCUGCAAUGCCAUUGUUAGAAAUGCUCUCCGAGCUGGGUGGUGCAGGGGAUUUGUUGGAAGAGUUUGAGAAGGGAAGGAUCCCUAUUCUUGAGCAAUCUGCACCGAUGGAACCUGCAAGAGUGCCAUGAGUUAGCCGUUGUGGGAUUUGUUACGGCAGCCUCUGUGUUUGUAAGGUAAAUGGCUUGGAGCGUUUGAUCUUACAGUUCUGAAAGCAAGGCAAUGUGGUCAUGUUGAGAAGGUUGCUGUAACCCUCCUUGCACUCACAGUGGUAGCUGAGACCAGAGCCGUUCCUGCACGUGCCUCCGGUGCCACAGUAUGCUAAUUCACAUGCUGUAGGAACAAAAGGAUAGAGGCAGAAUUAAUUGAAUAAUUCAUAUGGCAUGUAAAUAUCAUGGUUACAGGCUUACAGCAGAAACAUAUAUUCCAGGACUAAUGAGAUGGGGCAAUUACGGUUGAGUGAGAAGUUUUUAGGUGCUGGCAAAGGCGUUGGUGCUGGUGCUGAUGAACCGUUGGAACAUGAGCUGUCAAUGGAACCUGAAAGGAAAUGUUAUCAUUUGAUCAUUUGAAAUGAUGUGAGCAUACAUUAACAAAGUUGUUGUCAGCACAAAAAAAAACACUGUCCCUUGGAGGGUAUUGAUGAAUAUUGCUGACAUCUGGUUAGAUACGUAUGUGGUAAAGUAAGAUAGAGGUAGCUGCAGAAAAAUCCUUGUGAAAUCACAUGAAGAUACAAACUGGUUUUAGUGUAUCCAGAUGGAGUAAUCUAAUAAAGGCAUUAUGUAAUUUUCAGCUGUGUUACUUGUGGUAUGAAAAGCAUAAAGCAACUCUGAAAACGAUACUAGACCCAAACACUCUAAAGAAAUCCAUCCUUUUUUCUUUCUGAUUGAGACGCGCCCUGAAUAUAAGAACUGCAUUCUCAAAAGAGACAGUAUAUGGAGCACGAAAUUGAAACGCCACACGCAUAGAGCCGGUCCAAUUAAGUUUGUAUGCGUUUAGACUUUGCCUGCAUACUUGCCAAAAAAUGAUGUCAAAUUUUGACUAGAACAAGACUCGCAGAACAUCAGCAGCCUUGAGUUACCACGGGAUAAAUCUGGAACAGACACAAUGCAUGAAGAGUGCAAGUACAGUCCCACACAUCAGGCUUUUUAAGAUGUGCCUAGUUUCCUGGAAUUUAGUCUUCCUAUCUAAAAUUCAGAUAUUCACUCCGAACAGCCUUUGAGCUGGCAGAAGCCGUACAUGAGCAAACUUUGAUACGCAGGCAGUAUGGUCUUAGCAUAGCUGUUGAUUAGUGAAUCACAGAAUCAGUGCCUACCACACUCCCAGUAUCCGUACACACUUCGACCAUCAGGGAGCACAAUGAUCGUAUCCUAACAACCAUACUGAAUUCACAUAUACUAAAACAAAGGUGCUGAUCAAGUGGUAUCAUCCCAGAUUAAAGGAGCUGGCACGCGGUUAUGCGCCGAAUCUGACGAGACAAGCAAGCAAUGGGCAGACGGUAUUAGCUGGCCUGGCCAUUCGCGACCCGUGAGCCUGCCGAACUACGCAACGCAGCACGCGACAGUGAACACAAGGAAAGCAGAACUCAUAUUCAAUUGGCACCCUACUUGUUGAAGAAGAAGAAGAAGAAGCAGCGAUUCGAAUGGCUCGGAACGCUGGUUCCUGUCAUACUUACAGUUGGGGAUGACGCAAGGCAGGAACCUGAGUUCGUCGCCGACGUGGAGCUGCGUCCAGCCCGGGUCGCACUCGCACCUGUACCCCAGCGUCCCCGGCGCCACCGUGCAGUUCCCCUUCCCGCACGCCACCGUGCUGCAGAUCGAGUCUGCUCGGGAUCAGACCGGAUCGUCAGGGAGCAGGAGCACCAACGACGGCCAAGACACGGACAGAGCAAGUCGGAGAGCGGAGGCUUACUGAUGACGGGCGCGAAGAUCGGGGCGAGCGGGGAGAAGAAGUCGUCGGCGGUGGCGGCGGUGACGGCGAGGAGCGCCACGAGCGCCGCGGCGCGCUGGACCCCUGCCGCGAGCACCAUCUCGGCUGGCUGGUUCCUCGGGCUCUUCGAUCUCUGCGCACGCGAGGCGGCGGUUGUGCUCGUCGUCGCUUUUCCGUGUGUGGGCGGUUGCGUUUAAGUGGGAGAGGCAGUUGGUUGGCAGGGCAGGCGGCGAUGGGCGUUUAUGGGAGAGGGGCCUUCCAGGAUUGACUCGCUCAGCGCCGAGCACAACAGAGGCGCAACGGGCAAAGUCAAAGCGUAUUUACCGGAUGGCGCCCGUGACAGAACCGUGACAGUGAGCAUGAACUACUAGUGCAGAGCUGACAGAUCUGUGAGUGGCUACUGGUUAGGACUUGGGAGGAUGGAGGGAGGGCGCGUAGCAUUUAAAUUUGCAAAGACGAUAUUUGGAAACCAUUCAUAAACAUGGACUGAAACUUUUGAUCAUGCGCGAGCUACUUUCUGAUCCAAAUUCCGUACCUCUCGCUUUCUUCUCUCUACUCAAGUGUUCAGCAAAAGCUCCUUCCUUUUGCCCCCCCCCCCACUAAACCAAGUUCACGAGCCAAAGACUGUUCUGACAAGCUGUGACGACUCGAACAUUCAUUCAUGCAUCCACGGGGGAGGGGAUGGGCCGAUGGCGAUGCUUAUCCUCUCAACGCUAAGCGCGUCCCGGAAGCACCAUGAUUCAAACACGAAAGCAACGCGGCGUGUUCGAUUGAUUGAUCCAAAGGUCGCCACCUGUACGCCCUGAAAAUGGACGUUAACAGUAAACUUUGUGAGUGUUCAUCUGCCAGAAAAUUAAAGGAGAACACGCUCGAAUAUGUGUCUCCCUUUAUCCACCCCAUCCCAUGAGAAGGACACCUGGGAGAGAAAAAAAAAGUCAAAUAAUGCGAGCCUCCGUGCUCUUUCACACGGCUUGUGCACGGGGUUUUUCGAUUGGUUAUCGUGAACCUCUCUCUCCCUACGAAACGAGAUGGCAUGUCCUGGAAACAUGCCAGGCGUCACCUAACCCAGUACUGUACUACUGUACAGUUUGGUGCUGGUGAGUCAACUUAACGAGGAUUUAGUCUGAGAGAAACUAGAGCAGGAUACACAGGAGACAUUUUUCUCCUUGGAAGAAAUUCAGAGCAGAGCUCUGCUAUUUGGCACUCUCUAUUUCUCUUCUUCAUGACGUUGGUGGAAUGAAUAGUGCUCAUAUGUUGUAUUGGGCUAUUUCACCACACGACCAUACAUAGUGUUGGGCCGUACUGUGAGAAGAAGUUGUUACGACGGCCCAACAUUUGCGACACCAUAUCUGGCCCAAAUAGGGCCCUUUUCUAAAUAUUCGGAGCACAUUCAUUCCGAGCAGGAACUUCUUUUUGUUUUUUUUUUCAAUCCAAUUGCUCUGAGAAGGAAAGGAACUCGCUUUGCUGUCAUCGUCAAUUCAAUUGCUUAAUUCCCAGCGAGCACCGACCCAUCAGUCAUCAGGAUCAGACAUGGCCGCUGGCGCCCGCGGAAAAGAGCAUAAAUGUACAAGUACAUCACGAAAGGAACAUGGCGAAAUUGCAGGACGGCCGCCUGCGCUAGCUUGCCGCGAAUGGAAUGGCUAGCACUAGCAGGCUAGGCAAAAAUAGCCGUAGGGUUCGCUCGCCACGCGCAAACGCCAAACCAGACCGCUGCAAGACGCGCUGCCACCCUAACUCUUUCUUUCCAAAUCGGUGCAGCGAUCGCCUUCGUCGCCACCAAGUUCUCAGGAUUCUUUUUGCCGCCCGCCGGAUGAGGACCGGCGGUCAGAACCGUGAAAGUACAGGGGCGGGGCUCCUGGUGGUUCGCUCGCUCGACCAGUCGACGGCAAGCUCCCACGCGCCGACCCUUGCUUGAUCAAGCUGCUGCGCCAACCUCAACCCCCGCGAGGACGCGUUCCGCGGCUGGUUCUACGGGGACGGGGUGCCGGCGCUGGUGCAGGGGCGCCGGCUGUCCAGAGUCCGCGGGCGCGCCGUGGUGGUGGUCGGCUACGCCUGCCACCUGCGCGUCCCGUUGUUCGCGACGCUGCCGCGGUGGCUCCAUUACGAUCAGCUGAGUUCCCUUGCUCUCUUUCGGUCUAUCUGCUGUCCUUGCCAUUCUGGUGAUGACGGUCUGCCCGUCGUUGGUUGCAGUCACCGGAAUCCUCUUGACGGUGGAGCUGGUCUUCUUGGAAGUGUGCGGUUCUGCAUCAGCAAAGCCGGUGACAUAGAUCCAGCCCCAGCGUGAGGACAGGCAAGCGCCUUCAUCUAUCGAUCAGCAUAAGAAUAAUCACUGACUGCUGCUUUCGUUUUUCUGUCUAGUUCAUGCGGCAAUGAUAACGGCCCAUGCCUCCAAACAGGGCCUUUGUGAGCAAAGCCCAACCAAGGCCCUUUUUAAAUUUUAUUGGAGCAAGCCCAAACAAGCCUAGAUCCAGUAUUACUUUCGUUAGGAAAAAAAAAAAUCCAGUCAGUAAUUCCGAGCACCGACCGACCGACGUCAGGACCAGGUGCUUGUGCGAGGAACCUUCAAAUCCGAGCAGGGCAAGCCACAUGCGGCAGACCCAUGCAACAUCAUGCUGCUCCAUCCAGCUGGGACGCCGGUACGGGACAGUACGUCCACGUCACGGUCACUGGCACCAACAGCUAAGCUGAUGGUCGGGGACUCGGGGUGGAUGGAUGAGGAGUCGAUGAACUGCAACUGAUGACGGGGCAGCAGGCAGGCAGGAAGGCUCGGGACUUGAAUUGAACAGGGAGGAACCGGGCCCGGCCGUACCGCGCACAGGUGCCCUGUCCCCAUCUCAGAUUCCCACAGGUUACGACCAAGCGCAGUGGAAACCAAAAGCGUUUCUGAGCAUGUGAGUUCUUGGCGCCAGCGGCUGUAAUCGUAUCCGAUCCGAAUCUGACGCAUCCAAAUCUGAAAAACCAGGCACGGUCAAUCAUUCCGGAAUCAUUUCUUGUGCUCACUUGCAGGGAGUCUCUGACAGUCUCCGGCAUGUCAAAAUUGCAUGGCACAGCAAAGCACCAGUGGCAAAAAGAAUCGAGAAGAGAGCUGAAGUUCAGGUAAUCAGGUUCGGAGACCUGAGUCUGAAUGAAUGGAUAAAAAGGACGGGCUGACAGGCAGGAAGGGCCAUGGAUCGCUCGGACAACGGACACGCACAGCUCACGUUUCGCCAUUGUCAGGGGGACGGGACGGAACGGAGCUGAUCCGUGAAUGAUUGACAUGGACGGACCCGCCCACAGUUGCAAUAAUGCUGAUGCGCUCCCGUAUUAAAAAGAUCCUGACAGGCGAAAGCGCGCGACGCCGGUGCUGUUGCUAGGAUCCACGCCAUGUUCGCGGUCGCGGCGGCGACCCGCUUCACGUGGCCGGCCGUUCGAUCGCCUGGCCGCGGUUGACCGGAGCGUUGAGCCGGUCGCGGGUGGUUGGCUGCUGCCUCGUCGCACUCGCAUCCUCCGGUUGGUACUUACCAUAGAUUACGCCAUGAAAUACGACGUGCGUAGUAUAAUCGAGUCUCUCUCGCUGAUGUAGGAGUAAACGUGGCGGCGGAGUCGUCGGUGCUUGCAGGGAUCGGGCGAGCAAUGGGGAAGGCGGGGAGGUGGCUCAAGAGCUUCCUGUCCGGGAAGAAGGACAGGCCGCACGCCGACGCGAUGGCCAUGGCGGCGGCGGCGCCUCCUGCUUCGGGGGCGCCCAAGGACAAGAGGUGGAGCUUCAGGCGGGCGGCGCAGGAAGGGAGGGCUGCCGAGGCGACGCCGGCGGCGGGGCGCGGCGGGACGGACGACGGGCUCGGUCUGUCGGCGGCGGACAUCGAGUUCGACCAGAAGAAGCACGCCGUGGCGGUUGCGGUGGCGACCGCGGCGGCCGCCGACGCCGCGGUGGCUGCGGCGCACGCGGCGGCGGCGGUGGCGCGCCUGUCCUCUCGCAGGGCGAACUUGCCGCCGGCGAGCCUCGCCGAGGACGCGGCGGCGGUCAGGAUCCAGGCCACCUUCAGAGGAUACCUGGUACACACACACACACACACCUGUGCCUCGCAACUCGAGUUUGUUUUGGAUAAUGUAGGCAUGUAGCACGACCGUAUCGAUUCAGUUCGUCUUGCGUGGCAGGCGAGGACUGCGCUGUGCGCGCUGAGGGGCAUUGUGAAGCUGCAGGCUCUGGUGCGAGGCCAGCUGUUGAGGAAGCAGGCGAACGCCACGCUCCGCUGCAUGCAGGCCCUGCUCACGGCGCAGUCCCACCUGCGGGCGCAGCGCAUGCGCGUUCUCCAGGAGCACCACCACCCGCCGCCGCCGCCGCCAAGGCCACGGCAGUCACCGCAGCACCCGAGGCACCGCCGGUCCUACGUAAGUUGCAUUGGGUUCACCCGCAGCGCAGCACCUGCAAACUCUCGUCCCUGGCAAUGUCUAACUGCGGUGAGGAUGGAACGGGAACGCAGGAGAUGGACAGGUCCUGCGAGGAGAACGCCAAGAUCGUGGAGAUGGACAUCGGCGAGCCGGUGCGGCGUGGCGCGGCCAAGGACAGGCAGCUCCUCGUCGAGCACCACGGCCGGUGCUCCCCGGCGCCGUCGGCGAUGACGGAGCUGAGCCCGAGGGCGUACAGCGGCCACUUCGACGAGUUCUCGGUGGCGACGGCGCGGAGCAGCCCGCAGCACGCGUCGUCGUCGGCCUCCGAGGCGUGCCCGAGCUACAUGGCCAACACCGAGUCGUCCCGCGCCAAGGCGCGGUCCCAGAGCGCGCCGCGGCAGCGCACCGACGCGCUGGAGCGGCAGCCGAGCCGCAGGAAGGGGACCCCGCCGAGGGGCGCCAAGAUGCAGCGGUCCUCGUCGCUGGCCGGCGCGGCGCCACGCGGCGGCGGCGGCCAGUCGUCGCCGUGGCCGGCGGGCCUGAGGCUGGACGCGUCCAGCGCGUCGCUCAAGGAUAGCGAGUGCGGGUCCACCAGCUCCGUGCUCACCGCGGCCACCGUCUACAGCCGGACGCGGUCGCUCGUCGGGUUCGAGGUGAGAACAAAACCGCAAGAUUCUUAGUGCCCGACUGCCCGUGCAGAUCAUCAUCGUGCCAUGUAAUCCUGACAGAGUCUUGUUCCCUCUGUUCGCGCUCCAGGUGCGACGUGGCCUGUACUGAGUCCUUGUCUCUGCUGGCGUAUGCCAUGGAUGUUGGAUGGGUGGCUUCAGUUCUUCCGAUGACCCAGGAUUCCUCGUCGGGAGCUUCAAGCAAAUGUUUUGUGACCAUCUCGCAUUAGUAUCAUCGAUGUGCCAACAGAGCAACAUGGCCGGUUCAGAGCAGUACAUAGUCGCAUUCCAAACUGUAUAUUUUUGUAGCUCACUUGUGAUGUUUUGCGAGGUAUUGGGUGGUAUAAGCGGAUACCACGAUACAGAAUGUAAUAAGGUUUGAUCGCAAACCCUCGUGGAAUAUACAAUAUUGUUUAGCUGUGAACGAAGCAGGAGUUUACACUAAUGUAAUGGGGGCUUAUGAAAUGUACUGUACGAUCCAACUGCAGAAAACACGGGACAGGAUGUGCCAGGCAAUAGCUACUCAAGAAAACAGUAUACAUCACAUUUUGGCCAACCUUGACAAGGAAGAUGGGCAAGGAAACCUGAGUAACAAAGAUGCCCAAGCUUACACGAUUCAUUUCUGUCGCUUUGGUUUUUGGUGGGGCUGGUAGGAAAGCUUCAUAAAAAUGCAAUGCAACAUGAGCUGGAACAACAAAAUGACCUCACAUGAAAUGGAGGUGGUCUAAAAUAAAAUAAAAGUUAGCCUAAAUUAACUAACCAUAAGUUUAAAAUCAAAGGAUGGUACAAUACUUCAUAUUUCUCUCUAAAAAGACACAAAGAAAAAGAUUUGAAACACUAAAAGCAUAUAAAAAGGGUCUAUAAGUUUUCCAACGCUCCCUAUUUAAAGCAUACAUGUUGCGGAAAUCAUUAGAGCAAUGGUACAAUGUUACUUGAUGGUUUCGAUUUAAGAGCUCAAGAUAGACUGUGAUCUUAAUAAAGAAAAAUAAAUAAAAAGACGGGUUGCCUCCCGAAAAGCACUUUAGUUAUAGUCAUAUAGCUAAACUUCUCACCUCGAUAAUGUUCAUGCGAAGCCAUGAUUCUUUGCGCGAGAAUCCAAAGUAUCCAUGCAGCUUGGUGUCAUCUUUUGUGGUUUGCUUCUAACGUCUCUUUGUAUUCAAUGUAGCCUGCUUGGAGGUUUUUAUUUUAUUCUAAGCCUCUGAAUUUGAUCAUGUACGCUUGAUGAAAGCAUUGCCAAGCUCCUAUUCAUUGUUUUCAUCCUCAUCUUCUCUAUCUUGCUCUCAUCGCCUAGCUGCUGCCUCUUCUUCGUGGAUUUUUCUUUGCAUUUAGAACAAAAUAUAUACCAAACUAUAGAUCUAUUGAAAAGUUUAUGAAAUUACCUUUCCAACGACUGGUCAUUCAUCUAAAACGGAGUUAAAAUGAGAGAGUUAUGCCCAUUUUACUUUAGCACUGCGUGCUGUCCAGAAUUGAUUUCAGGACGCGCGACGUUUGAUGAUUCGGCCACAAUCGCCUUAAUUCUUGAUUCGUUGGAACGUAAACUUCAUGGGACUUCUAAGUAUCAAAAAUAUUAUAUGUGUUUUCUUCUGAGGUCAUGCAAAAUCUUGAUGACAACAGUAGCUUCUCGUGAAUUGAUCCGGAAAUAUUGAUGAUCUUGAUCUUAAGGUCUUUGGGGCAUUAUGUCACACACACUUUGGCUUCAAGGUUAUCACCAUUGCUGCACCAGCUAGUACCAUAAUGGCAAUGAUGCAUCUUCUCCAUAAUUCUUGCUUUACCCAAGGUGCCGGGAUCAAAAGAGGCUCGUGCGCUUUGUGUUGAUGAUCUGAGCAGUUUUCCUCUAUUAUUGCAACGCAAUUAAAAGCUCUUGACCAUCCCACUGAAGAAGAUUGGUAGUGUCAUGGUGCUACUAAUCUUGUUGUCUCCAGUCUUGAUCAACUUCAAGUUAUCGCCUUUUGUGCAGAGAGGCCCUCCAAUCAUCCCUCUUUGCCUUACAUGGUUGCUUAACAUCAUCUUCACCUUCUUUGUCGUUCUUCGCUGCUGCCUCUUCUCCAUUGAAUUCCUCUGCGUCGAGUACAUAUUAUGAACCAAACUUCUGCUCCAUUGCAAACUGCAUCAAAUUUUCUUUCCAACAAGUGGUCAUUCACCUAAAGCGGAUUCUGGAUGAAAGAGUUAUGCCCAUUUUACUCCGGCACUACGUUCUGUCCCGAGCUGAUUUCAGAACGCGAAGUGUUGAAAGAUUUCAUCAUAACUCUUUGUACGGAUCUCCAAAAUUAGUAAUUCUUGAUACGUUGGAAAGAAGACUUGAUAGAACUUCUGCAUAUUCAAUUUUCCUUUAUUGUACAUCUCUGAUCAUAGGCAGAAAAUUGAUCACAACAACAACAUUCAACCUAAGAUAUUGAUGAUCCAAUUGCAACUCUUUGGGCAUGACCCAACACCUAUUACAUGAACAAACAGACCUCCAAGAAACAUUACUUUUAAAAAAUUCAUUGACAUAGCGGCAUACCUUGUUUAUCAUCAUUUGUAUUAUCUUCAUCGGUGUGGACUCGAUAGCAGAUGUUGGGCCACUAACAAAGUUAGCACCUACUGCUAAAUAGUUGAGCUUGAUAUUGUUAUCAUCUUAUCGGAGUGAGUCGAGACUUGAUGAAGUUCAUGUUCGAUCAUCUGGCUGUAACAAUCUAGAAAAUUAAACCAUGAUUAAUCUUAAGUAAAGUUAUUAGAGCCUAAGGGAACAAGUGGCAAUUGUGAAACCAAGUAAAAAGAUACUUGUGCCCCUCACAAGCUAAACCGCUGUUUAAAAUGUAACUAAAAUUUUUUCUUAAGAACUUAAAAAUCUGUCCAACUAAGAGUUGUAGAACUCAACUUUCCCAACAAUUUUUAUUUUUAGUGUUUUGUCUGAAUCUGAGCAGAAGACCUUCAAAAACUCGAAAUUUGAAUCUAUGUCAAUUUAAGAAAAACAGUUGAAGUCCCAACUUUGGGGCUCUUUAUUUCGAAAUUUCUAAUAUAAACUCAAGUUGAACUCUAUACUAAAGUUUUAGAGCUUCGAGACCUUAACAACCUUGAAUAAGGGAGCAAGGUCGAAAUCUGCACAGAAAGCUUUCAAAACCCAGGUCAAAAUCAGCCAAAUUGGUCAACUCAGCCCAAGGCAUCUUGGCGUCAGCUUAUCUCUCAAAAGUUGAACAGAAUAUCAGAAAAACCUUUUAUAAGAGUUUGAGAACUAAGUUUAUACAACAAUUUUAUCAAUUGGACUCUACUAAAUUCGCAUAAGAAGCUUUUCAAAAUUUGGGCUCAAGUCAGCCAAACACCUUGAAAACAGCCAAACAACUUAAUGUUCUCUAAGUCUGGAAAUCCGGCGUUCCUCCAAACUUUGAAGCUUUGUAUCUUCAAAUCUGCUGCGAAUUUGAACUUGGUUCAAUUACAAAAGUUGAACUUGGGUACGAGGACUACAACUUUUGUAAAGGGGGUUAAGGUCGCGCAGUUCAAAAAUCUGGAGUAACUGCGCUUGGAUAUCGGCCCGGCAAGAGAUCCUGCAAAUCCCUCGGCCCAGAGCGUGCCAAAGCGCGCACGCCGCGUGGCGCGGCUUCACCGGCGAAGCCGUCUCACCUGGUCUCCAGCCGCGGAGCGCCCAACACCCAGUUGCGCUUCGCGCUCGCCCUGCACGCCCUGCCCGCUGCCCUGCCGAGCGGAUGCCCUGCUCAGCACCGCCGCCUCCGCUAACCGCCGCUCCGACCGUGACAACUCCUCCCCGCCUUGCCAGUGACGCGUCCAAAGCCGGUUUUUGCCGCGCACGCUCACUUUGCUUCACCCGCACCUACCGCCUCGCCUGCAGUGUUCUCGCCUGCCGCGCCACUCUACCUCCUCUGUCCACCAAUGGCGCCGCCGCCAUUAAUGGUUGCCGCAAUGCCCCGACUCCCUUUGGUCCCGUCCGCUAGCGCUGCUGCCUCCGCCUCGCUCGCCGCUCCGCCCCGACCCUAUAAAGGGAGGCCCAACACCGCCUGUGCCCCCUUCCCCGCUCGCCCUCGAACCUCGCCGCGCUUCCCUGCUCUCACCCUCAGCUCCGCCGCACACCCUCUUCGUGGAGCUUCCCCUUCCGCACUGCCCCGCACCUCGUCGACACCACCACCAGCUUCGCCUCCCACUCGCGCAGCUCUAGAGCCCGUUCGUUGCCCGCUAAGAGUGCCGCCGCCGCCGAACACUGUCGCUCGACGCCAUCCCCAUUGCUCGCCGUCCACCGUCGUGUUCCGCUCCCGCCGGACCUCCCAGACGCCCGCAACUGCAUCAAAUCGGUCAUAGGUGAGCCACUGCUCCUCCCCGGCCUCAUUCCGCCCCAAGCCUGCCGGCGCUUCGCCAGGAUUUUGCCCGCCUACCGCCGUGCACCGCCUGGGGACCCGAUUGUGAUCGAAAGAAUCGAAUAAGGGGCUUUAGUGCAAAAACUAGGGACCCCUACGCAAAUAAAGUAUAGAUGCGAGGGCUAGAUCGCAAGUUUACCUCAUUUUUUGUUUUAUAAUCGACAGAAAAUAUGUUUAACUUUGGAAAUUCACCAGAACUCAUAGAAAAUUCAGAAAAAUGUCAAACAUAUUUCGCUAGACUCAGUAUAAACUAAUAAAAAUACUUUUGACACAUGUCUCUGCUAGGAUUAAUGUUAUAUAUUUUAAUCCUUAUUUAAGCCAUUUACAUCAUCAUAAAUUGCAGAAAAAUCCUAAAUUAGUAAAUCUAACUCUCAAGUGUUUGUUUUAGAGAAUGGAAGCUUAUAAAAAUGAUGUGGAGCCUAGCGCAGAUGUUUAAAUCUCUAUUUUAGUUUUAUCAUGGAAAUCUAAGGUUUCUUUUAUCUUUUUGCACAAUAAUUAAACCAGAGAUGAUAAAAAUGUGAAACCAAUUGCAAUAAGUUAGUGGUGUAGUGUAGUUUGUAGGAAAAAUAUGGAACCUGAUAAAAAAUAGAAAGAAAAAUCACUUUCCUUUUUAGGGAAUAAUAAAUAGGGUAAAUGUAUGAAAAAAGAUGCCCUUCACUAAAAAUUAUGACAAAUUCACCAAAGGCUCUGUAUCACCCCUAUAACUCACCAUUAAAAUUUCAUGCCAGUUUCAUUAUGGUUUCUGUUUUAAAAAUGUUUAAGUAUAUGCUACCUUAGGGUAAUAAAGUAAUUCUAAUUCUUUUCAUGCACCUCCAAUGGAUCUCAAAUUUAUGCAGUAGCUUAUCUAUGACAAAGUUAAGUUUCUAUCAAAUUUGUGGCUUCAUAGCUUGCUGUUUGAAGAUGGAAAUAAAAUUUGGAAGAUGAACCUAGCUAAGUGAAAGAAAGAAACCUUGAAUAAUGAUGAAGGUAAUUUUUGGAAGAGGUAGAAAAGAACAUUCAAAAAUAGGGUAACUUUCUGAUCUAAAGUUUAAUAAAGUUAAGUUGUAUAUAUGUACACAAUCACCAUCAAAUCAACUCCAGGUUUUGUACCAUAACCCACCUUACGUUAUGCAGAUAAAGAAGGUGUAGAACCUUGUUUAGAUGAAUGUGGUCAUAAUGUAACUUCUACUUCAGUGCUAAUUCAUGUUUUACAUCCUAUGAGAAAGCUUGGAAAUUAAACUUGAUGCAUUUGCAUUUCGUGUAGAGCUGAACCUCACUGACAGGACAUAUGAGCUUCACCCGACGCCAGAAGAAGGAGCCGUAGCAGCCAGUUGGAGUCGAGCCCGUACCGGAGCAAGCUGAGGACCGGUUCGCUAACUCCCCGUGUGAAGGCAAACCCCGAAGCAUAAAUUCCUAUCUUUAACUACUUGCAAUAUAUUUGGUUGCUUGAUUGUGCAUUUACAUUUUUAGAAUUGAUUGAAACCGUAGAUGCAUGAAUUAGUGCCCUUUGAUCUGAACACUAGUAUGAUAGGCCGAGUAGUUGCAAUGCUUAAUAGGACUCGGUAAAAGUUGAGUGAUUGACUAUCACUCGCGAGUUAUAGGAGUUGUUUGCGUUCAUUUUGUUAUAACUAUAAGGACGAUGGAUGGGGCUGGGCUCUGUGAAUUAUUUUGGUGGUCGGUGGAUUGCCCCGUCUGUCUACAUGAAACUAGACUAAGGUCGAGAUGUGAUAGUGUUCGUGAUCAAGUGUUAAAAGUACUAAUCUCAUACCUAGUAUGGGAUGGGGAAGCCUAGCACCUGAUUGAACUGGAACGUGAGCGGAUCAUUCCAUUGUCUCUGGAACGGAGUUCCCUUGCGGCCGCAUGUGAUGACAAGUGCGGUCAUGGAACGGCAGAGGCUGGGUCUAUGGAGCCUUGUACCAAGGGAAGUGGGCCCGACACAGGUCUGGGAAUUGAUAGGGACGGCUGACAAAUGAAGCGACCCUUCGCAGUGCGCGGAUGUCGUGGGAUUAGGUUCGCCAUGCAUGGUUAAGAAAUUCGAAUCGAUUUGUCUGCCUCUCACAGUUUGGAACUGCUUGAUUGCUAUGCUACACUGAGUAAGAAUGAAAGAUGAUGAUGAUGUAAUAUGGUUACCUAUGCUAAUUGCUUAAAAAACUAUGCUUGCUUAGUAUAGCUGCUAACUUAGAUUGGUAAUUGAACAUAGAACUUGUGGCUAAAAUAUUGAAAGUAAGGACUUACACUAGUCGCUUUUGGCAAAAACAAACCCCUCUAGCCAAAAAGCUUGCAUGUCUAGGUGUUGGUGGAGUAGUACCACUGGUCGGUUAAGUCUUGUUGAGCGUAGUCGCUUAGCCUUGUUGUGGCACAUCUUUUCAGGUGAUGUUGAUGCCUCUGAGCUUGCUGCAAGUGGCACUUGGCCUCCCCAACUUCCUUCUGGUUGGACAAUUGAGUGGGAUCCCUCCUCGGACGGCGAGGAUCGGGAUCAUUGAUGUCAUGAUCGACUUCGUCAUGAUAUCCUGCAACGAAGUUUAACUUCUGCUCAGUUAUUUCGGUUAUUUGAGAACUCUGCAAACUUUGCUUGAAUUUCGAACUUAAGGUUGUAAUAAUUUAAUGCACUUGUUUAAUUGAGAUGGACUGUUGUAAUCUCUGUAACCACUCGCCUUCGUGCGAGUCUUGCUUUCUCGAUCUUGAGGUAAGUGGUUUAUCGAAUGAAAUCCGAUGGACGACCAAGUUGACUUGUUUAAAGUACAUGAUCGCGUGUUAAGUGACUUAAGUGUGCUUUAGCCAAGUUAAUUUGGGCGGUUCCGCCACACUAGCAUUAAGUAUUUACCUGCUUUCAAGGACGCAAAUAAGAAAAAUAGGGUAUAUGCAAUAAAAAUAAUUAGAGUUAGUCCAAAAAAUUAGAUAGAUCGCCCCAGGGUUCGAGUUGCCGAUCCCCGGUAACGGCACCAGAAAAGCUUGGUGAUAGCAAUUAGCAUGCCAGUUCGUGAACCACAAGUGCAUGGAUCAUCGUAGAUUUUCCCUCAGAUUCUUCCAUCCAAGGUUUAGUAAUCCGUGGAUCGGCAGCGAACUAACUAGGGUUUUCCAUCUAAUCUAACGGAUCUAAUCCUAACGUGAAGCAUAGAUUGCAUAUGAAGAGGGUAACCUUGGUGUAAAAGUAAAUCAUGAGAACAUGUAGAUCACAUCCACAGAUAUGUAUAUGAUAAAACACCACCAAGGGUAGUAAGAGCCUAUCGUCUUCUAGAACAAGCAAGCACAACAUGCAUCUCAUCAAAGCAAUCUCAAAACUACUACCUCCGGUCAACCUCCCGAAAACCCCAACCUUACACAAGCUAGAUCCUGUCACGAUCCUCUCUAUCAGCGCAGGCUGUUUAAGGGCACGAACACAAGUGGACAGUCUAAAUAUCAUGAAGGAUCAACAUACUAGAUCUAAUCACCAUGAUUACAUAAAGCAUGCUAUGAAGUCUAACCUCGAAUUAGACUAAGGAACAAGCAUAUUCAUGAUAAGAAGAAUGCAUAAAAGGAGACAACGAGUCGCUAAUAGAGUGGAUGACAUGAAGAACAUUGCUCAUAUAAUAGAUGCAUUUAGAUCAUCACCACCAAGUACACACCAUUGAUGAUCAUAACUAGCUCUUGAACUCCACCAUGACACAACCGCGCAGGGAGGUCAUGGUGGCUAGGGUCGGCCUAAGCCAUCUCCUAGAUAACUUCGAAGACUUCCAACUGUCCUCAGCUCCCUCUGGUGGAUGUCCUCCAUUUCAUCGAGUUCUUGUGGAUGGAUGCCGGGGCUCGGUGAAUUUUUGGGGUACUUAUAGUUCGGGGAGUGCGUGGCAAAAAUUGGAAGGCGAGAGGAGUAAGGAAAGCCUCUGGUCGAUCGGCCUAGGGGGUCCAGGCCAAUCGGCUUGGCCCUUCCUUGUGGCCUCUCGCGCCCUCCUUCGUCGCCAAAUCUUCUUUGAUGAUAUGGAAACUUACUUUUACUUGCAUGCGGGAAUCGCACGUUGAUAGCCUCGGGAUAAGGAUGGAUUUUGAUAUCUUUCCAAAGUCUUUUUUGCUUCCAUCUUUGAUCCUAAAGUGAACUUGUCAUAUCUUGUGAAACUUAAAUGUAUGAAAACACUACUUAAAUAGUACUAAAAGUGUAUCAAUAACGAGCGUCAACAUACCUCCAUAUCAAAUAUUUAUCUUUAAACUAAUAAAUGCCAAACAUUUUGAUAUGGAGAUAGUAUACAUGAGGGCAGCAUCAAUAGAGAGAGGAUUACAUGCAUAAAACUGACAACCAUUAGCAAGAACAGGGAGAGCGAAUCUCCGCACCGAGAAUAAGACCAAGAAACCAUGUCGGGAGGUCAUCACGCCAUUCCUAAAUACAGAGUAGAACAUUUAUUUGAAAUUCUGUGGACUAAGACCUCUGACUAGACCCCUUUUUGUCUUGGCAAUGCUAGUACAUUUAUUUCGCAGAGGAUUACUUUUAUUAUUAUUAUUAUCAUCUUAUUAUCUAGUUUGAUCAGGAAGGUACUGAUAAAUUUGUUAAUUGUCUGCAGUACGUGGGUGAAUAUGGAGAUUCAUCUUUGUUGAUGAAAGCUGAGAUGUAUCACAUGAAUCUUUUUAAAUACAAGAAGUUCUUUGCCAAUGUCACUAAUGAAAAGAAGACCAGUUGAUGAUCUUAUGUUAUACAGUCAGAUACUAAAGGUGAAAAACUGGGGAUACUCAGCCCUUACAGGAGAACAUAUUCUAACAAUACUAAUUGCCCAGUUGAUGAGAUUGAUGUAAUUGAGUUGAUGAGUCUACGGCCACAACAUGCCAAGCCGAAGUUGCGGCGGCACCACACUCUAUGGCAGAAAAAAUUUGGCGCCACAAUCUCCCACACUCUGCGGCUAGAGAAGUGUUGUUACAGCACUGAUUUCUUGUGGCGAGCCAAAGGUUUGUAACAAACCAAACAACUACUUCAAUUAAUGUGGCGUCGCCAGUACUGUGCUGUGGCUAGUUGUAGCGUACAACCAAACAGUCUCUGAGAUUACUUCUAAAUAUACUCCAACAUAAUCUAUAGAGGUAUGGAAUAUGUUUUCCAUCUGAUGUUUACCAAGUUAACUUUAAGAUUUUAAUUUUUAUUUAUUCUCUUAAAAAUUGUGUUAAAUAUGUUGUUGGUGUAUGAACAUAAAAAUCACUAGGUGGAUAGGCACGCUAUGCUGUGUUGCCCUUAAAUCUAUUAUUUAUAGUAUAUGUUAUGAGAAAGAGUUGUUUAAUCCUAUUUAGAUAGUAUCAGAUAGAAAAUAAAAGGUAGAUGAACAUGGGUUUGGUACUUAUCUAAUUUGUAUUGGGAACGGGAAGUAAAAUAGCUAGGUCAGUUAUAAAAUUUAUUAGGGGGAAUAUAAAUAGUUCUAAGAUUAUAAUAGUUGAAACAUGAAAUUUGUUUGUGGAAUUAGUAGUUUGAUAACAAAAGAGGUAAAUGUUACACAUCGUGAUGAAAUGUGCAGGAGGAAGUGAAAACAAAUAAAGAAACAUUGUUGAGGAUGUAAUGCGUAACAAUACAUGAACUGCGGGAGAGGAAAUGGAAGCAAAUGAACUAGUGAGAGAAUAUCAGGAUCUAAUGUAAUGUGCUGGAGUAUAUGUUUAGUGGUAUAUAUGGAUUGAUUUAACUAUUGAGGGGAAAGAUCUUUGGAAGUCACAGAAUAAUUGAGGAAGACAUGUACACUCAACGGGGAGAUAAUUUUUUUUGUAGGGAGGUGCGUUCGGUGAAAGAAAUAAAACAAAAAACCAACCUUGCUAUUGGUAGAGACUGCAAGUAUUGCGAGUCACCGUAGGUUGCGCAAGCUCAGCGAGCAGGCUGUAAGUGAUAUCGCUGGCAUGCCAUGGACGGCAGGACGGGUGGCUUCAGUUCUGAUGAUGAUCCAGGAUUCCUUGCCGGGAGCUUCAAGCAAAUGCUUGUGACUAGUUUGCAAUUAAUCUCAUUGAUGUGACAACAGAACAACAUGGCCGGUUCAGAGCAGUACAAACAUGGAUCCUUAGGGGCUGUUUGGAUAUGAGGUGCUAAACUUUAACAGUGUCACAUCGGAUGUUCGGAUGCUAAUUAGGAGGACUAAAUAUGAGCUAAUUAUAAAACUAAUUGCAGAACCUUGUGCUAAUUCGCGAGACGAAUCUAUUAAGCCUAAUUAAUCCAUCAUUAGCAAAUGGUUACUGUAGCAC
rnacentral:lncRNA from 1 species